AAUAACACAUGAAAUACGAGAAAUAAUAGGAAAUAUGGGUAAUAAUAUUGCACACAUAGUUGAUAGACCACGUGUCAAGCACCCAUUUAUUUCAAAGCACUUAUUAUUAAGUCCUAGACUCCUCCUCUCAAGCAUGGCUAUCAGGUACGUGGGAAGUUUGUCAAAUGCAUGGGUUCUUGCUCGUCUUUGGGAGACAUAUCAGCAUGCUUGGAAAGAGAUACACGCAAGACAAUCAACACAAGAUUUGCUUUAUUUCUAGGAUGCAUCGGCAUGCACUCUACUUAUAGAACUCCAUAACCCAGAGAUUACCAAUAGCAAGUUCACAACUGAUCCCACCAAACCCAGCGCUAGUAGCCAGGGUCAUGAAUUCAUGCCUUGUUCUCUCCUUUCCACCGGGACUUUGAAUCAUCAUAAGCACGUCAAAAUGGGAAUUUGAUUUUGAUUCAAUGCUUGUAUUAGGAACUUCUGGAAGCAUUGACUCCACAACGAUUACCUUUCCAUCUUCUGGGAUGCUUUUGUAGCAAUUCUUCAACAACUUCAAGCAAUGUUCAUCAUUCCAAUCGUGCAGUAUCCACUAUAUAAAUUCUCAUAUUAAUCAAACUAUUGUUUGUAAAAAUUUAAUUUAAGGAACUCCUCAUAAUAUGUCCGCAAAUUAAAUUAAAAACUUACCUUCAUAAUAAUGGCAUCACCUUUUGGAACACUUUGGAACAUAUCACCCCCUACAUGCUCAAUACCUGUAAAAUAUUAUACAAUUAAGAAAUCAGACAAUUAGAAUUAUGCCACUCUAUUUUCAUUAGCAAGAUGUAUUACGUCAAGAACUGUUUGCUCAAACUUAAUUAUGCCAAUGUUAUGGAAGUUCCUGAUAUACAGGCACACACAACAGAAGAAUUAUACACACACAUAUAUGAGAGCAGGUUCAAGGGAUUUUUUUUAAUACAAUUUUACAUAUAAAUUUUUAACAAUUAGGUUAAAGUUUAUCACAUGGUUAAUAUUAAAACUGCAUGCAGUUUUAUAAUUCUAAAAAUUAAUCAACUAGACGCAAGUCCUUACGUCAAACAAUAAACGUGAAGCACGACGCUCUUUCCUCUCUCUUAUCAUCUAAAUUUAUUUAAACUAAGUAAUUUCAUUCAAAGAUUGAAAUUACACUUCAUUUCGGAGGAAGAUCUUCCAAUCAAAUUACAGGCAACUUAAAAUUAAAAGCUGCCUUAGCUAACACGAGUAUGCGUGUUGCAGGCUCUUCGGAUGAACUGAAUUCUAAAUUAGCAUUGUCCUUAAUUUCCUCUUGAAUGUCCAACAACACUUAAAAGAUUUCCUUUGCUUGACAUCAUGUUUAGGACAUUCAUAUAUUUCUCUUUUUAACUUAUGUGCUCAUCUCCUUCAAUCCUCCCUCUACUCAUUAUAAAACAUUUUUUUUUCCGAUGGCUGUUGGAUGGAUGUUACUACUACAAAUUAAAAUAUAGUACUUCCCUAGUUCUCUGUAUGUUUACUUUAGUUAUCCAGUAAAUCGAAACGUGAUUAGAUGACUAUGCUUUGUUAAUCUUUAAAAAAAUAUAUGUAGAAACGAUUGCCAACAUUUUUUUUUCCAAUAUUUACAUUUGGUUUAAUAAACAAAUUUAUGUAGAUAACAUCUUUUUUUAUGGCUACAUGGAUGUGUACCUUAGUUCACUGGUAAUUUAGAGGGAGAAAUAAAGGGUAAUACAAAGGUGAGAGAAAAGUAUUUUACUUUUACUAUUAAAUUUAAUAAUAUGACACCUACGCGAAUUAAUUAGUUUUUUAAAAUAACAAAAUUACACGUGAGCUUUAAUAUUAAUCCUUGGAUGAACUCUAUUAGAAAGAAAUUUGUUUCUAAAAGUAUCUUUUUUAAACUUGCCCCCAAAAUAAGGAAUAUUCUAAAAAAAUAAAAAAGAAAACAAACAUUUUGAGUAUUAUCCUUAGUUUAUCCUUUAUUUUAAUAAAGGAAGGAACCCUUAUAUAUAUAUAUAUAGUAAUGAUCUAAUCCAAAAUUUUGGGUUUUGUUAAAAACCGAAAAAAAUCAUAAUUUCAAAUGGUUCAAUAGUCCAUUAUACUAUUAAAUCAUAUGACUUACUAGAUUUUUCGGAAUUUAACAAAAUUUGUGUAGCGAGAGAGAGAGACAUUCGAAAUCCUGUUAGCUUCAAAUUUCCUUUUAUUUGUUUGUUUCCCCUUGAUACAAUUAACAAAUAUGUCAAAACCUGUGAAAUCUAAGGGCCUGAGAAUUUCAUUUGACAUAAGUCUCUUUAUUCUCUAUAUGGAGAUAUGACUAAAUCUCUUGUACUAUAAUGCAACUGAAUUCUCAUUUGUUAAUUUUCUCUUUACACCUUGUGUACUUAAUUGCAAAUAUUCAUUAAAUGAAGCAAUUGUAUCAAGCAUAUAAAGAUUAUCAUCACCUGACAAAGAACCAGAACUAACCAAUUUUGAAUUAUGAAACAAACUAAAUUUUCCAUUCCCAAAUGAACAAAAAAAACCAAAUUUGUCCAAACCAGAAAUAGAAAUCAAAUUCCGUCUAAAAGAUGGAACAAAAAAUGUUUCAUCAAGAUUCAAAUAAAAUCCAAUUUUAACAAUAAUCUAAAUUCCAAUGCUNNNNNNNNNNNNNNNNNNNNNNNNNNNNNNNNNNNNNNNNNNNNNNNNNNNNNNNNNNNNNNNNNNNNNNNNNNNNNNNNNNNNNNNNNNNNNNNNNNNNNNNNNNNNNNNNNNNNNNNNNNNNNNNNNNNNNNNNNNNNNNNNNNNNNNNNNNNNNNNNNNNNNNNNNNNNNNNNNNNNNNNNNNNNNNNNNNNNNNNNNNNNNNNNNNNNNNNNNNNNNNNNNNNNNNNNNNNNNNNNNNNNNNNNNNNNNNNNNNNNNNNNNNNNNNNNNNNNNNNNNNNNNNNNNNNNNNNNNNNNNNNNNNNNNNNNNNNNNNNNNNNNNNNNNNNNNNNNNNNNNNNNNNNNNNNNNNNNNNNNNNNNNNNNNNNNNNNNNNNNNNNNNNNNNNNNNNNNNNNNNNNNNNNNNNNNNNNNNNNNNNNNNNNNNNNNNNNNNNNNNNNNNNNNNNNNNNNNNNNNNNNNNNNNNNNNNNNNNNNNNNNNNNNNNNNNNNNNNNNNNNNNNNNNNNNNNNNNNNNNNNNNNNNNNNNNNNNNNNNNNNNNNNNNNNNNNNNNNNNNNNNNNNNNNNNNNNNNNNNNNNNNNNNNNNNNNNNNNNNNNNNNNNNNNNNNNNNNNNNNNNNNNNNNNNNNNNNNNNNNNNNNNNNNNNNNNNNNNNNNNNNNNNNNNNNNNNNNNNNNNNNNNNNNNNNNNNNNNNNNNNNNNNNNNNNNNNNNNNNNNNNNNNNNNNNNNNNNNNNNNNNNNNNNNNNNNNNNNNNNNNNNNNNNNNNAACUGUCUUGCAAUCGCCAACAUAGAUAUAUCUUUCACCAUCACUGGGUUUUCGGCAACUCAGGCAACCCUGCAUAGAUAUAGUGAUGUGAGUGGUUGCACUAGAAUUUAUUCACCACGUGUGUCUAGAUACCAAAGUUAAAUUAACCUCAGAACAAACCAAACUAAAAAGCAUACCUUUCUUAGCACUCCAUGUGUGAUAAUUAGUGUAAUGCUUCUUCUUAUGCCCUUUAGCCCCAUAGAAGAAACAACCAGUACCUUCAUGAUCAUUUGGUUUCUUUUGUUAUUUCUUUUGAGGUGUUGUAUUUGCACAUUCCUUAUUUUUCUUCAUUUUCUUGCCCUUAGAGAUAGAGUCUAGGUGAGCACUUUUUGCCUUAUCUUUUUUCAACAUAUCCUUUUCCUAAACACAAUGUGAUAUGAGCUCAUUCAGAGACCAAGUCUCUUUCUGACAAUUAUAGCUCACCUUAAAUUAGUUAAACUGUGUUGGUAAGGAUAUUAAAAAAAAUGCACUAGUAAGUCCUCAGAGAGCUUAAGUUUAAGUGCUCUUAACUUAGAAUCAAGAUGAGACAUCUCCAUAAUGCACUCGUUGAUAUUGCCUUUACUCGUAUACCUCAUUGAAAUUAGGCUUGUCAAGAGCGUACCAAUUUCAGCCUUUUUGUUCUUGACAAACAUUUGUUCAAUUUAUGCAAGAAACUCUUUAGCAGUAGUUACUUUUUCAAUCAUUAAGCCCCUGAAUGCUUCUAGAAUGGUCUUCUACUUAUCAUGACACACAUGCGAUUUGAUCUCUCUCACCUUUCCAUUUAAUUUCCCUUUUAUCACCAGGGGUACUCUCACCCGUAAGAGGUGCGAAGAAUCAACCCUUAACGCAAGGUCAAGAUCCAUGACUACAAGAACUAUUGAGAGGUUCUUGUGCCAUGAUUUGAAGUUAGAGCCAUUUAACAUAGGAAUAUAAUUCAUGUUGGCGGUAAUAUUAGUAGCAAACAUAAUUGAACAAAAAAUAACAAACAAACAAAACAAGCUCAUAUUAGUCUUAAAACAAAAAUAAAUUCAAAUAAAGAUAAUCCCCAUCUUAAGAUACUGGACACUCCAUUAAUAUUCAACUUGUAAUUGAUAUCUUGGUGUAGUAAUCAAACAUUGAUAAUAAGAACAUGUCAAACAAUUAAUAUUCCUUUGGCCGAUUUAUUGCUCACAUGCAAAACCGAAUAAUCAUCACAUGUUUAUUACCAUAGGUGCACAUGUAAUUCUAUUAAAUAUGGACAUUCCUUAGAGCCGAUCGAUAUUUACAGAAAUUACAUAUACAAAAGCGUUUAUAUUCUAAAAUAAAUUAAUUCUUAUAAGAGACCUCACUUUGGCGACAUGCUGCUUCAAUUAAUUUAUCUCAAAAUAUAUAUAAACCUACCAAUAUUUAAAUUUAAAAUUGCACAAAAAUUACCUCAAAAAUUAAAAAAAUUCAGGUCAAAGUCAAAGUUUGACCAGUCAACUAUCAAAUGUUGAUCGGUUUAUACUGCUGAUCACUUUGAAUUGGACUCGUUCAGGUUAGACCGAAUCGGACCAAACCAGUCCUAAAUCAGAAACCCUAAUUCAUUUUCCCUUCUUCUUCUUUGGUCGCCUUCCCACCUUAACCUACAGGCUGCGACUUAGUCGUCGCGACCUCUCCUUCCCGUCGCUAAGGGUGUUCGUGGAUCAGAUUUUGUGGAUUAGACAUCAAUCUAUAUCUGAUUCACGAUUUUACGGAUUAUAAAUUUUUAAUCCAAUCCAAUCCACGGAUUAGUGAAAUUCAAUCCAAAUCAAUCCAUACGUCUGCGGAUCGGAUGCAAAUUUGACCCAAUCCAUAUCCAAUCCAUCAUUUUACGGAUUGGUUUACGGGCUAAAAAAUUUUACUCAUGUCCUAUCCACGAACUAACUAAAUAAAAAAAUUAAUAUAAAAAUAAUUUUACUAUCGAUAAAAUUCAAAAUUAAAUAAAAUUUAAAUUAAUUAAUUUUUUAAAUAAAGGUAAAAAAUACAUUCAAAGUUUCAAACUAUAACACACCAAAAAAAAAAUCUCAUUUGUUUAGAUCAGUACAUGAAAAUUAAUUGCUAAGGAAGAUAUAUUUUUUAUUUAAUUAUUUUUAUUUUAUAUUAUUAUCAGAUAAGACAUAAUAUGGUGUUAAUAUAACUAUAUUUUAACUUAUUUAUUUAGUAGUAAGAAUAAUGUUAUAUUUACAAGUUUAUUUUUUUGCGGAUUUGUGGAUUUUUGCGGAUCCACAGUAGUAAAUCUAUAUCCAAUCCACUGACUGCGGAUUUUCAAAUUUUCAAUCCAAUUCAAUCCACCAAUCCACGGAUCAAAAUUUUACGGAUUAGAUUUCUGCGGAUCAGACGGAUUGAGCGGAUCGAAUUGGAUUUUGAACUCCCCUACCCGUCGCAGCCUGAAGCCGUGACACAGCCGCCAGCUAAAACCUUGAAACAUUUUUUUUCCUUCAAUUCCCUUUCCCUUUAUACCACGACUAGGGGUGGGCAAACGGUUCGAUUUUAUGAGCAAAAUCAGAAUGGUUUUAAAAUCAAGGAACCGAUUGGUUAAACCGAACAGAACCAAAAAACCAAUCGGUUCCUUGAUUUAAUUAUAAAUAAUUUUUUAAUUGAAAAAUAAAUGAAAAUAUAUAAACUAAAAAUGAAAAAACAAAUCACUCAAAAAUCAAAAUCUCAAAUCCCUAGCUGCGUUUCCCCAAUUUGCAACCCACAACCUCUCUCUCCUCUCCCACUCAUCUCCCACUCAUCUUCCACGCCUCCCUCCGUCGCCUCUUUGCCGCGUGUUUCUCCAUUACCAGACAGCACAGAACUUCAGCUCAGCCCCUCUCGGCUUCUUCCUCGUAACCGUCUCUCCCUCGCGUUAGCUCAGCCCCUCUCUUCCUUGUCUGCACAGCACCUAGCACAGCCCUUAUCUUCCUCGCGUGCACGGCUUCCUAGCACAACCCCUUAGCAGCGACACAACUCCUCCCCUCAAGCACGAUGACAGCCCCUCACACGCGGUGUUACAGCCUAACACAAUCCCUCACACGUCGUGUUGCAGCCUAGCACAACCCCUCUCUUUGGUGCUGCAGCCUACAAGUGUUAUUUUAUUUUAAUUUAUGCCAUGGCUUGCACAUAGUGUGUAUAGUGUAUACUGUUUAGUUUCUGCUAGUGUUACUUGUGUUAGGGAUUGACUAUUUGUGGACUGUUGAUGUAUACUUGUUGGUGGAGUUAAAAAUGGUGGGUAGAUAUAGUGGUUGUGGAGGCUUGUGAGUUGUGGCAGUGAACUGAAAUGGUUGUAACUUGUAAUGUUGUAUUGUAUAUUGCAGUCGAAAAUUGAACAAUUGAAAAUAGAUAAAUGUAUAAUGCUUCAAUCAAUGAAAAAUUAGAAAUAAUAUUUGUUAUUUAACUUAUUUGGCAUAAUGAUUAAUGACUUAAUUAGCUUCGCGAGGUUGCAAUUUGAUAUUGGCAAUUUGGCAUGGAGAAUUCAAAUUAAAUUAAUAAGUAGUGGAAGUAUAUUAUGAUAUGUUGACCUAAUUUGUUAAAUUAAAUUAUGAUUUAUUAGCUAGUAGUUAAUUGAACUUUAAUUGAUCUUUUUGGCAUGGAUGUUUUAAAUUAAAUCAACAAUUAUUCGAAGUAAAUUAUGAUAUGUUGGCUUAAUUUUUUAAAUUAAAUUAAAUUAAAUUAUGAUAUGUUCGCUAGUAGUUAAAUUAAAUUAAUAAAUUUAAUUGAACUUUUUGGCAUGGACAUUUUAAAUUAAAUUAACAAUUAUUGGAAGUAAAUUAUGAUAUGUUGACUUAAUUUGUUAAAUUAAAUUAUGAUUGGCUAGUAGUUAAUUUAAAUUGAAUUGAUCUUUUUGGCAUGGAUGUUUUAAAUUAAAUCAACAAUUAUUGGAAGUAAAUUAUGAUAUGUUGGCUUAAUUUGUUAAAUUAAAUUAUGAUUUGUUAGCUAGUAGUUAAUUUAAAUUGAAUUGAUCUUUUUGGCAUGGAUGUUUUAAAUUAAAUUAACAAUUAUUGGAAGUAAAUUUUGAUAUGUUGCCAUGUUGGCUCAAUUUAUUAAAUUAAAUUAAAUUAUGAUAUGCUGGCUAGUAGUUAAAUUAAAUUUAAUUGAUCUUUUUGGCAUGAACAUUUUAAAUUAAAUUAACAAUUAUUGGAAGUAAAUUAUGAUAUCUUGCACUAGCUUAUUAAAUUAAAUUAUGAUAUGUUGGCUAGUAGUUAAAUUAAAUUUAAUUGAUCUUUUUUCAUUUCAAUAACUUGUUAAUAAAACAAUAUUACUUAUUUAUUUUUAUUUUAUUUAUUGUGUAUAUCUAAUUAUUCAAGAGUUCAAGACAACCUCGAUUGUGUACCCGAUGAUCUUGAGUGUGAAGUUGAAGUUGAUGAUAGUGAAAAUGAUUCGCCAACAAUUGUCACUAGCAGAAACAAGAGGAAAAAGUCUUUGUCAUCCAAACCGCCACUACCAAGGAAAAAAAUGGCUCCAAGAUCAACAGUGUGGCAACAUUUCACUAGACUUCUAGAUAAUGAUAAGAAGUGCAAAUGCAACUACUGUGGUAAUGAAUUUGAAUAUGGCUCGGUAGGGUACGAGACUAGCACUUUGAGGACUCAUUACCAAGAAAGGUGUCAAAAGUACCAAGAACCUUCAGAAAGACCAAACAACUUUAACUCAAAAUGUCGGUAGUGAUGAAAUUGUAGCAAGAGAUUUUAGUUAGGAUGCUUAUAGAUGAGCAACUAUGAAGAUGAUGUUCUUGAUGAAUUGCCUUUUUGUGUUGUGGAGAAUCCGGGUUUUAAGCAUUUUUGCAGUGUGGCGGCUCCUAGAUAUCUUCUUCCAUCACGAAGAACCAUUACUAGGGAUACUCUUGAUAUGUAUGUUGAGGAAAAGGCUAAGUUGAAGAAUUUAUUGGUUGGGAAUAAGCAGAGAGUGUCUUUGACCACUGAUAUUUGGACUUCCAUUAUGACAGUUAGCUACAUGGUCAUCACAGCUCACUUUAUUGACAAAGAUUUGAAUUUACAUAGAAAGAUUAUCAGCUUCAACAUGGUUAAUGAUCAUUCAUCGGAGACAAUUGGUAAGCGAAUUGAAAAAUGUUUGAUUGACUGGGGCAUAGAGCGAGUAUGUGCUGUAACGGUUGACAAUGCAAGUCCAAAUAAGGGUGCUCUUAGGUACUUAAUUGAUCGACUAAAGACUUGGAGGGAUGAUGCCUUAGUGUUGAAUGGGGAUUAUUUGCAUGUUCGUUGUUGUGCGCAUAUAUGGAAUUUGACUGUGACUGAAAGGUUGAAGGAACUUGAGCCGAGUAUAGUUAGUGUUUGGAAUGUUGUGAAAUAUGUGAGGUCUUCCACUACCAGGAUGCAAGCAUUUCAAAUUCGUGUGCAACAAGAGAAGAUUAAUUCCCGAGGAAGUGUGAUUUUGGAUUGCCCUACUCGGUUCUACAUAUUCCAUGUUGAGUACAUCAUUGAAAUUUAAGCCGGCAUUUGAUUGGAUGGCACUUGAAGAUAACCUUUAUGAUGCUUAUUUCAAUGAAAAAGAGGGGGGGAGGGUAAGAAGAAAAGUGAGGGGCCACCGCUGUAUAGUGAUUGGGAGAGUGCUCGUCGCAUAGUUAAAUUUUUGAAGACUUUUUAUGACGCGACUUUGCAAUUUUCUUCUUCUUUGAAGGUAAUAUCACAUCUUUAUUAUGCUUUUGAAUUUUGAUAUAUGAUAUGGAAUUUAUUUUAGCUUUAUUAUACUUUUGAAUUUUGAUAUAUGAUAUGGAAUUUAUUUUAGCUUUAUUAUGCUUUUGAAUUUUGAUAUAUGAUAUGGAAUUUAUUUUAGGUGACAUCGCACACUUGUUAGAAUUUGACAUGUCAAAUUGAACAAUCUUCGGAAUUGUUGUCUACUAAUAAUGAUAGCCUUUUGGGUUUGAUGGUUAUUAAAAUGAAGGAGAAAUUUGAUAAGUAUUGGGAGGGCUGUUUCAAGAUAAAUAAAACGUUGAUUGUUGCUUCUGUGCUUGAUCCACGGGGAAAGAUGAAAUUUGCAACACAUUGCUUUGAGAAAUUAUAUGGCAAGGAUAGUGCCAAAUGUGUUGAGAUGAAGGAAAUGGUAAAAGAUUUGUUGACUAAGCUUUAUAAGUCUUACAAUGCACAAUAUAAACCGUGUGGUAGUGGGAGUACAAGUGGAAGUGCAAGUGGAAGUACAAGUGGAAGCCAAACUUUAGCUAUUGGAAGUGGAAGUGGUUCGAAUUUUUGGGAUUUAGGUGGUGAUGAUGAUGUUAUGAUUGAGGACCCUUUCUCCAAAUUUAGUAAGGUGGUUGCGGUUAGUGAAGGUAGCCCGGAAUUGUGUGCUUGUGUUAUGGUGGAUGUAGCUAUGGCUUGUGUGCUUGUGUUAUGGAGUUUUAUCAAUUAUUGAUGCACUAUUAUGGACUUGUUAUUUUUUUUUGGGAUAUUAUCAUUCGUAUACCUUAUAGAUACUCUAUUAUCAAAAAUACUAUAAUACUUUGAGGGUGUAUCAAUCGUCCAUCCUAAAUUAACAAAAGUUAUCUGCCGACCACUAAACCGUUAGCUGCCAUUUAAAAGUUAACGGAAUAAUAGUGAAUUGAUGAUUUUACCCCUUAAAAUUAUCACUUGUAUACCCUUAAAUUCUUUUAUUAUCACUUGUAUACCUUUAAAUUAUCACUUGUAUCAUAUGAAAAGACCAAAUUACCCCUCUGGCGUUAUCCUAUUUAAACGGCAAGUAACGGUUUGGUGGACGGCAUAUACAUUUUGUCAACUUAGGGUGGACGAUUGAUACACCCUCAAAGUGUUGUAGUAUUUUUGAUAAUAGAGCAUUUAUAGGGUAUAUGAAUGAUAAUUUCCCUUUUUUUUGUUGCCAUGGACUUAUAAUUUGUAGUAGACUUUUAAGUUUAAGCGUGUUUAUGAAUUGCGAAUAUUUGUAUUGGGAAUUUUUAUUAUAUGGCUUGUGUACUUGUGUUAUGGAGUUUUAUCAAAUAUUGAUGCACUAUUAUGGACUUUUUUUUUUUAGGUUGCCAUGGACUUAUAAUUUGUAGAAUUGUCAAUUGUAGUAGACUUUUAAGUUUAAGUGUGUUUAUGAAUUGUGAAUAUUUUGUAUUGAGACAUUUAUUAUUUCGCUUUUGAUUUAAUAGUUUUAUACUUGUUUAUUCAUAUUAUAUAGUGUUAUUAAUAUUAUAUGUGUAGAGUGUAGUUUGGUACUUGGUAUUGGUAGUUAAUGGGAGUGUAAAUUGCAAAAUUAAGUAAAAUUAGGUGGAAAGUAUAAAAUCUGAUAAUAUUAGGGUAAAUCUAUAAAAUUAAGAAAAUGAAAAAUCUGAACCGAACCGAAUUUAGGAACCGAACUGAACCAAACCAAAUAUUUCAGUUCAGUUCAGUUCGAGUUCGGUUCACACUCUUAAGGCUCGAUUGAUUUUGGUUCGGUUCGGUUCGGAGCCCGAUGUUGGAUUAUUCACAUAUAAGUCCAAUAUUGGAUUAACGAUCCAACAAUAUUGGAUUAAAAAUCCAACAUUAUCCACCCAAAUGCCAGAGCAAUCUCAUGCAUAAUUUUCCUUGAAAGGUCAAACAUCAACAAGAGAUCAAAAGGUGCAGUAAGAUUUUUUGCCAGAUCAUGAACUGUAGAAAAGUCCUAAAAACGAGACAAUCAAUGUUUUGAAAAAAAAAUUAAAUGGGAAUAGUGUCCCCGUUAUAAUCCCCAUUCAAUUUGUGGAUUUUUGAGGACAUGCCCAACCUAUGCUCAAUAAAACUUUUUGAGGUAUGAGGUGGGUUUGGGGAUUGCUUCCAAACUGCAUUCAAGUUCGUGCGUCAUGAUCCCCGUCUCGAACCCGGCCCAUUCCUAUCACUACUUAAUAGGAUCAUUAAACACAAAACUAAGGACUGAAAAGUUGAAAUAAAUGAACCAAUAAAUGAGAAAGACUAACUAAAAUUAGAGACAUAUGAAAUAAACUUGGAAGAAACGUCUAUUAAAUUGAUAUUUAACCAAAAGAAUUGCAAUAUGAUUAACAAAUUUUAAAAUGUUUUCUCAUUCAAUUAUUUUUUAUGUUUAUUAUUUAAAAAUUUCCUUCUUUUUUUCAUUUAUUGAAUUUUUUAGCAUUAAAAAUAAAAUAUAAAAAUUAUUUAAUGAAAUACCGCCAUACGAGUUGUUAAAAUAUUUAUCAGAGGUUGUAUGAAAUUGUAGGAUGACCCUAAGAAAAGAGAAAAACAUUUAUUUGUGGGACCCGACCGAUCACGGAACAUGGGUUCGAAACAUGGAUCCAACUACCUUGCAAUAGUUGCAAGGUACCACAACUUUUGUCUUUUUAUGCAAUAAAUUUCAUUUGACCUCUUACUUUUCUUUUUUUAAUUUAUUUUUAAUUAUAAUUUUAUUUUUCUCUCUCAUUCUUUCCCUCCACUCCAUAGGUGGCCCAAUCUUUUUUCCUUUUAUUAUUAUUAUUAUUAUUUGCUUAAUGAUUAUUUUAAUUAAAAAAAUCUAAUGAAUAAAAAAAUAUAAACCAUAAGCUAUUAACAAUUAGCCUAAAGGAGUAUAAAAGCAAGCAUUGAGUUUGGGCUUUGGCUAAAUUUUGGAAAAAUUUUUUUAACACUUUCAUUAAAUUAGAAAAUUAAAACAAUUUGAUAUAAUUAGGAUUCCAUCGGGAUCCCGAUUGAAGUCCUGACUAGUCCUGAGUUUUAAUGAGAAUAAAUUUAAUCUCAAAUUCUUAUUUAUUUUAAUUAUUUUUUAAGUCAUAUACCGUUUCAUGUACCAUUUGGAACAGGAUUUGGGAUUCCGAUUGGGAUUCGAUUUUUUCUACCAACUUUAAUUGGCAAAAGAGUUUUAAUUAGCUAAUUGAGAAUGUUAUGUUAAUUAACAAAGUUAUAAUAAUCUACGAUUGUUAUAAGAAUCUACAAUGUAUAACUUAGGAAUAGUAAAGCUCCUAUUAUUUAGCUUAUUUGGGUGUAUAGGCUUAUUGAAUUAAUUCAUACCAAUAUAAUUUGAUUAGAAUCGAAGUAUCUUAAUUAUGAAUUUUAUUCUUCUACUCUUUUGCAAAUGUUAAUAUUGAAAUAUAACUGUGCAACCCAAGAGGGGGGUGAAUUGGAAUUUUAAAAAUCAUCCUAGCAAAUCCACACAACAAGCAAUCUAAUGUCUUAAUAAAAAUUGAAAGCAAUAAGUUCAAUCAAAGUACAAUAAUUAAAGAGCAAGGGAAGAGAAAGCAAACUCAAGGAUUUUUACGUGGUUCGGUAAUCCCCGCCUACGUCCACGCCUCCAAGCACACCGGGCUUGAGGAUUUCACUAUCCAAGCCUUUCCAAGGCUUCAAACGAUUACAAAUGACUUCAAGGUGUCAAUGAACCUUUACAACAAGAGAUUAUAUCUCCAAUUUCUUCACCCCAAGUGUUUCUCACACUUGUACUCUAACAAUUUGAUGUAAAAUGAAAAAUACAACAAUCAAUCUCUCUUUAAGAGUGGAUAUACAAAUUGAAGAACAAAGAUGAUUUAAUGAAUGAUGAUUCACGAAGUUGAAACUCAAUAUAUGUUGUGUACACUUGUUCUUGCUUGCUUGGAUCACCAAAAAUGAAUUGGUUUUGAGUUUAUAUAGUUUGAGCUCAAAAACUAGCCGUUAUGCACAUUUUGGUCGUAACCGGAUUACCGGUUAUGGACAUCAAGAAUUCCGCUUAAUGUUACCAUUACAGCCACAAUUUUGAAUUUCUGAACAUUCGGAUUGCCGCUUUGUCACAUCCGGAUUUUCGCUUAUACUCAGUAGCUUACUGCCCAACAACCGGAUUUUCGUUUGUCAGGAUCCGGAUUUCCGCUUUCAAUUUGGAUACAUUCUGCCCAAAAUUCGGACUUCCGUUUGUCAGAAUCUGGAUUGCCGCUUGCUAUAGUGACAACUACAGUGAACUAUUUUCUAAAAUUAUAGUUUGACCCCAAAACUUUAUAAAACUAUACUACGGCCCAAAACGUUAUAAAACUUUACAAAUAAAUCCAAUUUCAUAAUUUUUAAAUAAUACUUUGUCAAUCUCAAAACUUUUUGAAAUUAUGAUUUCACCCAAACUAUGUGAAAUUAUAAAAUGACCUAAAAUAUUUAAAUAGUUUCAAAUAGGUCCAAAUCCGAAAUUUAAAACACUAUUAAAGAUUUUUAAAAUACUUUCAUUUUAGUCCAAAAUACUUUAAUUCCAUAACAUCAUUUUCUUAUUAUAAAAGAACAAUUCAUAAAUCUUUGUUUAAUCAAUACAUGUGGUUUGUUAUCAUCAAUAUCAAUAUUUAUAGCCAUAUAGGCUAACAAUCUCCCCCUUUUUUAUGAUGACAAAACACAUUAUAAAAAAGUUUAAUCUAGUUAUGAAAAGCUCCCCCUAAAUCAAUGCAAGGUAAAAAAAAUGAUUUGAAAAAAAAAAAAAACUCCCCCUACAUACAUGCAUACUCCCCCUGGAUACAUGUAUAUUUUCAUAACACUUUUUAUAACACAUAUUCAAUUAUUCUCCCCCUCAUCAUCAAAAAGAAAAACUUAAUUGGCAAAGAAAAAAUAGCAAAUUUUUAUAAAUUUAAAAACAUGUAUUCUUCUCCCCCUUCAUCAUCAAAAAGAAAAUGUAAAGGAAAAGAAUAAAAGUAGCAAAUUGGUUACCCACGUUGUUUGAGUAGAAAUUUUGAAAGAAUCUCCCCCUAACAACAAGCAUCACCUCAAAUACAAAUUUAGUAAUAUUACUCACAAAUUAUCAUCAUCAUAUAAUCAAAUACCAAUUAUCAAAACAAUUACUCAAAAUGCAUAUUAUUCUCCUCCUUUUGAUAACAUCGAAAUGAUAUAUUAUUUUGUCUCCCCCUUUGGACAACAAAAAAAAAAACAAUUCAAAAUGCAUAUUAUCCAAAAUCAUAUUAUAUGCUCCCCUAAAUAAAUGGCCAAUUUAAAAAUUUAACCGAAAUGAUUUUAUCCAAAAACAUAUUAUAUUUGUCUCCCCCUUAAAAAUGAACAAAUUCUCAAAUACACAACAUGGUUAAAAACACUUCCAUAUAAGCUUAAACAAUAAUAACCAACCAACAACUCCUUCAAUUUAUCAAGCAAAGCAUAUAUAAUCAUCAAUUACCAAGAUCAUCAAGAAAUCAAAUCAUUCCAAGUUUAUGCCGAAUUUUUUGAAAAUUCUUCUUCAUAAAGAGGUUUUGAUUUCUUUACCAAAUUGGCAUGCAUAUUAUCAAAUAUUCAAGCUCCAUAAUUAUCAAUCACAUUUUAUAAAUAAAGACAACUAAACUCAUCAAAUAUCUAAUGUGACAUUUCAAUAUAACAAAAAAAAAUCUCAUAUGCUUAAAAUUCUUGAAGUAUAUGUAUUUCUCUCUUUUUCGAUAUCAUUUAAAACAAGUAAGACAUAUUCAACAAUACAUCGAUAAAGUACAAAAAAAAAUGCAUUCAUUCACUAAUCAUAGAUUGCAUAAGAUCAAAGCUUCAUCAAAUACAAUGUAAUCAUCAAUACACAUUCUUUAUCAUCAAAACUUAAGUAAAAACAUAAGUACAUAAUGGCAAUAUAUAAAUCAUCAAAAUCAACAUAUGCCAAUAUAUAGAUCAUCAAAAUCAACAUAACUAUUAAGAAAAGCCAUCAUUAUGAGCUAAAGAACAAGUGAUCAAAUCCAUUAUUACAAAUGUUUAUAUAUAUUUCUAAAUGAUGAUCUAGUAGUUACAUCUUGUGAUGGAUCUCCUAAAAUUAAGUUCGUAAGGUGAGAAGAAUCAUAUAAUUCAAAAUCAUAGCAAACAUCCAUAUAAUCCAAAAUGCAAAAUAAAAGAAAAAUAAAAUAGUAAAUGAAAUGUUAGUGUGUCUAAAUACAAGCAUAAAGGAUUUGAAGUGAAAAAGGAUGAGAUUGAUGGAGUUUAGAGAGAUAUUGCGUGAGAGAGGAAGCGGUUUUUAGUGAGAGAGUAAGAAAUGGAAUGCCGAAUGAAGAAGGAAGAAGAGCAGUACCCAUUUAACCGCGAAACCGGUUUGCCAGAAGUCACUAACCGGCUGUCCGGUUAGUAUCCAAAAGCUGGAAAAAUCGAAACCGGUUUGCUGGAUGAGUUUAACUGGAAAUUCGGUUGGUUCCAGCAAAUAUUUCACGCAAAUUCAGUUUUCCGGAUAACACGAACCAGCUUGCCGGUUGGAUCCAGAAGAUAGCAAGUGAAAAUCUGCUUGCCGGUUUGCCAAAGUGUAGCUCGAAUCCAGAAUUUCGAAUUGACAGAACAGGAAAUCCGGUUUGUUCCAGAAGGCUUUCCUUGCGAAUCCGGCUUUCCGGUUUUGCUAACCAGUAGUCCGGUUUGAGGUAGAAAGUGGCCUAUUGAAUUUGGUUUUCCAGAUUUUAAGAAUCGGUUAUCCGGUUUUGAGGCAGAGGGAAGGCUUAGCAAAUCCAGUUUUCCGGAUUGAAAAUCUGGUUAUCCGAAUGUUGUCCCGAGAGCAACCAAAGCUAAUCUGGUUUAGACUUGGAAAACCUUUUGUCUCUAAUUGAAUAUUGGCUAGCUCUUAUACUUGUAUUACACUCACCAUUUUAUUUUUGGCUUUUAAAAUUGAUUAAUUUUAAAUCAUUUUGAGAUUUAAAACUUUUCAAUAAGCCAUUUAAUACAUGAGACAUAAAUGCAUACAAGACCAAACAUAUGAAAUCGUAUCAAACAAUGAUGUCAAUUUUAUAAGUGAAUGAUGAUAUAACACAAUUAACGACACAAGAAUUCACACAUAUAAUUCAUUCAUCAUGUAUAUAUUUUACACAAUCAUGAAACAUAUAAGCAUUCAAAGAUUAAUAAUUCAAGCAUAUCAUUCAUUUAUCAAGCUUAGGCAUUACAUAAUCAUCAAAAUCAAACAAAGCUAUCAUGAUGAGUUGACAAGCUAUCAUCUUAUAUAUAUAACCAUGCAUCAUGAUAAAGCAUUCAAUGUUAAACACAAUGAUAAUUCAAUCAUGUAAACAUACAAGCAUACUUUCGCAAAUUCAUUUAUCAUGGUUCAUUCAACAAAAUUAAUAUGGCAAGAAUUGUUACCAAAACAAUUAAAUCAUCUUGCCUCAUCUUUUUCUCCUAGAUCAUACUCAAAUGAUUAUCCUCACAAGCUUCAUCAAGGAACUCUCCACCAUUCCUUGUUUGUGGUACCUACAAAAGAAUAUUCAAGUUGUGCCCUUUGGUACCCAAAUGCUCUUGGGUCCUUGAGUGUUAGCAAUGGUUCCUUUUGGAACCCAAAUACAUUUUACUUCAUAAUAUACUUUUCUUUUAAUAGGACAACCAAGCUUCAUGUGACCGUUUUGAUUACAAUAAUGACAUACAACUUGAUUGUUAAUAGAUGUACUCUUCACAAAGUAGUUCUGAAAAUACUUUUGUUUCAAAUUUGGCUUAUAACCAAAUCCUCUUUUAUCAAACACACAUUUUUUGUGAAUUAAUCAAGUUAUCCAACAUCUUUUGCCCAUUUGUAAAUUUUAUGACAAUCUCAUUUAAUUCAUUGCUCUUCUUCUUAAGCAUUUCAUUUUCCUUUUUCAAGUCAUCUAUGUGAUAUUUUAAAUGCUCAUGUGAAGUGCUAGUUUUCUCAUUUGAUAAUGCAACUCUAUCAUGCAAUGUUUUAUUCUCUAAUUCUAGGCAUGUAAUCUUUGCACAUAGAGAUUCAUUUUCAUUUUUGAGCUCUACCAUUUUCUUUUUAAGACAUGCAUUCUGUUUACCAAUUUUUAUCCAAUUAUCAUGUAAUUCUUUAAAAGCAUCAUAUAAUUCAUCAUAAGUAAAAAGAUCAUUUACCUCAUCAAGUUCAUCAUCCGAUUCAUCUCCAAUUGCCAUGAGAGCUAGAUUUAUCAUUUCUUGAUGCUCUUCAUCAUCACUUGUUUCCUCAUCGCUAUCAUCCCAUGUGGCUACCAUUGCUUUCUUCUUGAGCUUGUUGAGAAGAGGACAUUCCGUUCUUAUAUGGCCAAGUUUCUCGCACUCAUAACAUUUGAUUAAUUCCUUCUUCUCCUUUCGGUUCUUGAGGUCUCUAAAUUUUCUUCGCUCACCGGAUUUCUUAAAAAGUUUUCUGAACCUCCUAACCAGCAUAUCCAUCUCUUCCUCAUCUAGCUCGUUUUCCUCAUCACUCUCAUGUUUCGAGGUUUUGAGAGCAAUGUUUUUCUUUUUCUCCUCAUUGCCUCUUUCGGCUUCCAAGUCUUCCUCAUAAGAAAUAAGAGAACCAAUUAAAUCAUCAAUAGGUAAGAUAUUUAAAUCCUUGGCUUCCUCAAUGACAGUCCUUUUUUGUCUCCAUUCCUUAGGUAGAGACCUAAUAAUUUUCUUAACCUUAUCCCUAUUUGAAAAAGUCUUUCCUAGGGCUCCUAGAGUGUUCACUAUGUCCGUAAAUCUAAUAUACAUAGAAUACAUACUCUUAUUUUGUUCCAUUUGGAACAAUUCAUAUUGCCGAGUGUACCUACUAAUUUUAGACUCUUUCACUUGAUUUGUGCCUUGAUAAACAACUUCAAGUUUGUGCCAAAUUUCAUUAGCACUCUCACAACUAGAUACUCUAUGAAAUUCUUUCUUAUCUAGUGCACAAAACAAGGCAUUCAUAGCUUUGGAAUUUAGAGUAACUUUUCCCUUUUCCAAUUCAUUCCAUUCCCGUGAAGGUUUUGGAAUAUCUUCCCCGACUUCGUUUCUAGUCAAAGGCAUAAAUGGACCAUAACAAACAAUUUCCCAAAUUUCAUAAUCUAAAACUUGUAAAUAAAUUCUCAUCCUAGUUUUCCAAUACGGGUAGUCAUUACCGUCAAAAAACGGUGGUCUAAUUGUGGAUUGUCUUUCCUUAAAGAUUGAGUCAUUAUGGGUUGCCAUGGAUCUUUAACUCUAGACGGUUAAGUCUACACAAGAGCACCUCGCUCUGAUACCAAAUGAAAUAUAAGUGUGCAACCCAAGAGGGGGGGUGAAUUGGAAUUUUAAAAAUUAUCCUAGCAAAUCCACACAACAAGCAAUCUAAUGUCUUAAUAAAAAUUGAAAGCAAUAAGUUCAAUCAAAGUACAAUAAUUAAAGAGCAAGGGAAGAGAAAGCAAACUCAAGGAUUUUUACGUGGUUCGGCAACCCCGCCUACGUCCACGCCUCCAAGCACACCGGGCUUGAGGAUUUCACUAUCCAAGCCUUUCCAAGGCUUCAAACGAUUACAAAUGACUUCAAGGUGUCAAUGAACCUUUACAACAAGAGAUUAUAUCUCCAAUCUCUUCACCCCAAGUGUUUCUCACACUUGUACUCUCACAAUUUGAUGUGAAAUGAAAAAUACAACAAUCAAUCUCUCUUUAAGAGUGGAUAUACAAAUUGAAGAACAAAGAUGAUUUAAUGAAUAAUGAUUCACGAAGUUGAAGCUCAAUAUAUGUUGUGUGCACUUGUUCUUGCUUGCUUGGAUCAUCAAAAAUGAAUUGAUUUUGAGUUUAUCUAGUUUGAGCUCAAAAACUAGCCGUUAUGCACAUUUUGGUAGUAACCGGAUUACCGGUUAUGGACAUCCAAAAAUCCGCUUAAUGUUACCAUUACAGCCACAAUUUUGAAUUUCUGAACAUUCGGAUUGCCGCUUUGUCACAUCCGGAUUUUCGCUUAUGCUCAGUAGCUUACUGCCCAACAACCGGAUUUCCGUUUGUCAGGAUCCGGAUUUCCGCUUUCAAUUUGGAUACAUUCUGCCCAAAAUUCGGACUUCCAUUUGUCAGAAUCCGGAUUGCCGCUUGCUACAGUGACUGCUACAGUGAACUAUUUUCUAAAAUUAUAGUUUGACCCAAAAACUUUAUAAAACAGUACUACGGCCCAAAACGUUAUAAAUCUUUACAAAUAAGUCCAAUUUCAGAAUUUUUAAAUAAUACUUUGUCAAUCCCAAAACUUUUUGAAAUUAUGAUUUCACCCAAACUAUGUGAAAUUAUAAAAUGACCCAAAAUAUUUAAAUAGUUUCAAAUAGGUCCAAAUCCGAAAUUUAAAACACUAUUAAAGAUUUUUAAAAUACUUUCAUUUUAGUCCAAAAUACUUUAAUUCCAUAACAUCAUUUUCUUAUUAUAAAAGCACAAUUCAUAAAUCUUUGUUCAAUCAAUACAUGUGGUUUGUUAUCAUCAAAAUCAAUAUUUAUAGCCAUAUAGGCUAACAAAUAUGUUAAACAUAUUCUUACUAUUUUGAAUAUUAAACAUUGACACACUAAUAUAAUAUCAUAAAAAAUAGUAAUAAUUGGAAAAUUUCGCUAUAAUUUGGGUUGAAACUUAAAUUAAUAAUCUGGAAUUAUAUUUUUUUAUUAUUUUACGUUGAAGUUCCAGCCUCCAGGUACUAAACCAAAUUAAUGGCUUGGGCUAAUGAAAGGAAUAAUUGGUUAAUGCUUUUCUAACUUGAACUAACGAUAUCUAUUAUUUCAUUCUAUGAUUAUUUUUUAUUUUUUUAAUUACUUUCGGUUCCAGUUCAUGGUACAUGAGAUACAUGAGAUGAAGAAAUUAGGAAUUGGNNNNNNNNNNNNNNNNNNNNNNNNNNNNNNNNNNNNNNNNNNNNNNNNNNNNNNNNNNNNNNNNNNNNNNNNNNNNNNNNNNNNNNNNNNNNNNNNNNNNGUAAUUUUUUGGAAUUUUAAAAAAUAUAGGGACUAUAAUGUUAAUUACCAAAUAGACACAUCCUUACCAUGGACGCUACUUUUGCAUUAAAUCGGACGGUGAGGAGCUAAAGUCACAAAAAGAUAAAAAUUCUGGUACGUUGUAACUGUUGUAACUAAGGCGAAUCCUUAAAACAUCUGACAAAGGGAGUACUUUUCUAUAAAAAAUUUAUCAUUUACAAUUUUUUUUACCAUCUCAUUUUGUCACUAACUCCUUUUGCCUUUGGUCAGAGCCACAAGCAAUGAUGAUGAUCCAACUGACAGUUAAUUAUAAUCCAUGAAUUAUUCUUCUUUUGUGUAAUUUUUUUUAAUUUUCUAUAUAUAUUUAUAGCACAGUUUAAAGUUUGAAGAAUUUGGUGGAAAGAGGAGCGACUACAAUCUAUACAUAACUUGUAUUUUUAAAAGAAAUUAUCUAUGUACUACCGCUAUUUCGUGAUAUAUACAACUAAUCACUAUAAAAUUUUAACUUUUUUUGCACUACUUUUGUUUUUAAACUUGUAUCAAUGAACCACUUUGACACUAAGAAUCUAAAUAAAAUAAUUAUUUUACUCCUAAAUGAAUUAAAAGACUAUUUUAUCCUAUAAAAUUUUUAAAAACAAAAAAAAUUAUAAUUACAAUACAACUAAUUGAUAGAAUUUUAUUGAAAAAUAGAUGUGUAAGAACCAUUUAAUUAAUUGAUAAAAUAUUAUUGAUUCUUUUAAUCAUUUUGACCUAAAAUACAUGUACUACUCAUCUCAAAUAUUUUUUUUUUUUGGUUUUUUUAAUCAAUCAUACAAUCACAAUUAUCAAAUAAUUUUCAUUGUUUAAAUUAAUCACCAAAAUAAUAAUAGUCUCAACCAACUUUGAACAAUAAAAAAAACUAUAAUUACAAAAAUUAUUGUUUAAAAAUUAUAAUUAUAAAAAUUAACAUAUUGGAUUUUGGUAUUUAUUUGUUUUAUUAAAUUUAGAGCUAUUCUUGUAAUUAUAAUUUUUUUAAAAAAAAUUGUAGAAUAAAAUGAUCAUUUAAUUUAUUUAGGGUUAAAAUUGUCAUUUAAAAAAAAUUCUUAGUGUCAAAGUAGUUGAUUGAUACAAGUUUAGAAAUAAAGGUGGUGCAUAGAGAAUUUUCCUAUUUUUAAUUUUACUCAAAUUAGUGCCCUAGUCUUGAUAUUAGCCAUAAAAUUUAAAUAUUUUGAGAAUAUGAAUCAAGUGAAAUGGCUUAUAUGCCCACAAUGAUUAAAUUAACUUAACAAUGAAUUAUAAAUUAUGACAAAAAAUUACCUAACAUGUAUAUGUAUGUAUGUAUGUAUGUAUGUAUGUAUCUUUUAUAUUCACAAGACUUAUUAGGGUAACAAGUUAUUUGUCAAUGGUAUUUGUGUUUAAAAGAGGAAAUUUUUUUAUAUAGGGUAGAGUGAGUUGGAUUUUAUGACAAAAGGUUAAAACAAAAUGAAUGCAUAUACCUACCCGUGGUAUAUUUUUAGGUACCAUUUAAUCAUCUUUUGUAAUAUCCCAACAUAUAUAUUGCAAUGGACACAUAUGCCCAAAUAUUAUUGCUAUGUUAAUUUAUAUAUGAGCAUAUUAUAUUUGCCUCCUCUUUAUAUAGUACUACAAUUUAUGUGGGUGCUCCAGUAGUCACAUAUGGCCAAUUGUUAUUGCAAUUUAAAUGGACACUUUAUACAACUAUUAGGGGCAUUUAUGAUAAUUCUCUUACUUGUAAAUUUUCUCUAUAAUUUACAAUUCAUUAUAAAUUAAUUUUAUGAUUAAGGGUAUAUCAGUCAUUUUAGUUAAUCUAUAUUCUCAAAAUAUUUAAAUUUUGUGGUACAUCAAGACUAGUGUAGAAAAGUAAAAUAAUUAUAAAAUUAAAAAUGAUGUAACUUGAGGGAGUUUGAACCUGUUCUAAAAUAUGAAGGUUUUUUUUGUUUUAUUUCUCGAAACAACAAGGGUAAUUCUCAUUUUUCCAAUUAGUUUUGGAACUCUAUUAAUAACAUAUAUUAAUUUCUUUAUUAUUUAACAAUGGGAUUAUGAAUACAAAUCAUGCUAGGAUAGGCAUAAGCAUGCUGAAUGACACGAGGCAAGUCGAAAUUAAUGACUUUAAUAUAGGGGUAUGCCUGAAAGUGAAAGCAAUAAAGGUUACUCUACGACUGCCACCAACAUCGACAGGGUGCUUGAUGUGGUUGAAACCCUAGUAAGCCUUAUUAAUCCCUUAGUGAUGCUGUUAAUAAUGAGAGCAAUAUGGUUAUAACAGUGGCGGAUUCAAAAAAAAAUUUAUUGGGAAUUUAAUUAAAUAAUAGUAAAAUAUAAAAAUUAAAAUUUUGAAUAUAUAAAAUAUUUGUUAAUAUAUUUAUAAUUGUUUUCAAAGCAUUUUUAUAUUUUUAAUAUGUUAUCUAAUAGAUUCAUUGUAUUAAAUAUUUUUUUUUUCAUAAACAACCAAACUAUUAUUCAUCCCAUUCAAUUCUAGAGAUGAUUCUUGACGAAUUUCAUUGCCGAAAAUGUUUUCUUUACUGUUGCGGCAAACUAGAAGAAUUAUCCUUAUUUUUGGAAAUAGAAAAAUGUUUUAGACGGUGGGCUAUUAUUAUUUUUAAUUAAAGUGUAGGCUUUAUAAUUCUUAACAAUUAAAGUUUAAAUUUUAUGGAUUUUUAAAUUUAUAGAAUGGGGGCCAUUUAGAAACCCAAAAUAAUUUUUCCUUUAAUUCUUUGAUUUUUUUUUGGCUUGCUUGUUGGGGCUCUGUUCACAUGUUGAAUCCACCACUGCAUUAUACACCGCUGUUUCAAAACUUUUAGGGAACUUUACCCAUUUGACCACUUUCCAACUUUCAAUAUAAAAAAAGACUUCACUCUAGUUUUUCUUACAAUAACAACCAUUUACAAGGUUCUUAGACCAAAAUACCUCUAAAACUAAACAAACAAACCCCAAACUCCCAAGCAACAAUCGAACAUCUCCACACACCACCAAAAUACUCAUCAUUUCACCUCUCCCACAUUAUCCAACUAUCACUCAGCCUCCCUUUUAUCUAUCUCACAUUCAUCAAACUAUUAUAUUUAUCAAAGUAUUGAAGACAAAAUCAAGCAAUAAACUAAAGAAUAAUAAGAAGUUAGGGUUAGUAUUUCUUCAAUAUCUAUCUUUUAUUUUUUGGUUGGGUUUAAUACAAAAGAUCGGUUGCUCAUUUUACUACAAUGUGGGUACAUUAAAUGGUUAAUGUGAGGUCAGAGAUUUAUAAAUUAGUAAAAUUCUGGCAAAAUUCGACGAAAAUGGGUUUUGAACAAUGUUGAACACGAAACCUAGAAUCCAGGUGACAAGUACCUGUCACCCAAACUUAGAAUAACUUGUCGUACUUGUCACCUGAAUUCUCGUAUUCAUCACCCAGGUGACAAAAUACUGCAUGUUGGGCGAUUAGUGCUCAUGUCACCCAAUAUACAAUCGCAUGUAAUUUGGGCGACAUUAUCUAUCACCUGGGCGAUAGUACUGUCAUCCGGAUCACCCGAAUUUGUUGAUAAUUAGUUAUUUAAUUAAUAUAGUAAUAUUAUUGUUUGCAGUAUUUUUAAUAAAGUAUUAUUAUUAUUUUGCAUCAGGUUAAUAGAGUUGGUAGUUCUUAUGAUGUAUUUUGAUAGAGCGUGGGAGACUUUGGAGGAUGGUCGUAUGGAGUACGAGAAUGGAAAAGUUACUGCAUUUUGUUUCCAAAACGAUGUAACAUUUGAACAAUUUAUUGCAAAGUUGUAUGAAAUUCUGAAGAAAAGUCCGGAUGAAUAUUCCCUCUUAGUAAAGACAAAUGUGAAAUCAACUCAUCCGACGAAAUCCAUUGAUUCCUGCUUAUAGACAUAGUAGACGAUGAAAUGGUGAGAGUGAUUAUGCGUAUGAACUCUGAUCCAAUUAACUAUGAGUGCACUCUUAUUUAUGUAACGACAAGUCCUAAAGUUCCGAUAGAACUUUCUUUGAUGCCAUCAAUUCAAACUUUAGCCUUUAAACACUGCUCCACAUUCCGCUCCCAUAAUGAUCCUAUUGAUGACAAUGUUGUUAAUACAGAUGUGAAUGCAUGCAGAAACAUAUAACAUUGAAUCCCAAAUGUAUUCUAAACAUUGCAAUAGUCCAAUCAACAUUUUGGAGGAUGUAGAUCGGUUUCAAGAAGUUAAUGAUUCAUCUCAAAAUCAUCUUAUCAGUCCAAGGACCUGUAGCCAAAACUUGUAGCCAAAGUCAGUCUAUUAGUCUAAUGGCUUGUAGCUAAAGUCGAUCUAGAGUUCCAAGUCUAAUAGACCCACGGCAGUUGGAGGCUCUAAUUGUACCAUCAGAUUGGAUAGCUUCAGACAUGGUUAAUGGUUCUAUUUACAGGGGUAUUUUUGUGGGCCAUACCAAUUAUUCAGCAUGAAAAAACUUAAAGUAUUGUGCUCCAUCGAAAUACUAAUCACGUAUUUGUCACCCAAGUAUUUUUUGUGCAAAUUUUCCACAUUACCACAUUUCAAUCCUGUCACCAAGCACCAUUCUCGAAGAGAGAAAUGUAACAUCUCGUUGCCAAUCCUAAACCACAUUUGGUACUCAUCAUCAACUUGUUUCAUGACUAGUCUGAGCAACAAAUAAUGUACAAGAUUGUUGCUAAAUCCAAGGUCCCCCAUCGUUAGAAAAUGACCAAAAUUGACUUUUUGAAUAGGCUAAAUUGAGUAUCAGUUAACUGGGUCUGUAUACACGUAAUGACAAAAUUAAAUCUCGUUAAAUUCGAAACGCAACAGGCAAAAUGAUCCUCGAUUGGUAUCUUCAAUGACCAGUGAUGCAUCUACUUGUCAGACAUAUCUAAGCAAUAAAUUAGGACAACAUUAGCAUAAAUGUUUCAAAAACAAAAACAAAACUGAAAUAGUCGGAAAACUUUAGGAUAACAUUAGCAUAAAUGUUUCAAAAGAAAAACAAAACAAAAAUGAAACAAUUGGAAAACUUAGGCGACAGCAUGAUUCAGUUGUUGUCACCCUACGUUGCCCGAUACAUGGGCAACAGGAUAUAUCGUCCAACCAAAUCUGGGCGACACAAUUCUGUUGUCCAGAUUUAGUUCCUAUCGCCUAGAACGCAGGCAACAACAUAUAUUGCCCAACCAAAUCAUGUCAUCACUCAUUUGCAUGCCUGGACGAUGCAAGCUUGUCGCCCGCGUUGCUCAGCCUCCCAUGCCACGCAUGGCCAUUUGGUUAGGUGAUGGAGGGGAAGCCACCCACUUUGCCCAAGCUUAACAUGGCCAAAUUUUAGGCAACACAAGCAACCACUCAUGUUCUUGAUUGGCUGGCACACCAACUUUCUCUUUAACCUCAAAAUAAUUCUCAGUAUAGAUCAACAAUUUCUUAGAGAUAUUUAAACAAAUACUUGGUGUGCCAUUUAUUAGAUAUCUUAAUCUUAAGAAAAUUGUAAUAUUUUCAUACCCAAUACACACCCUAAUGAUUAACUAUGAUCAAUGGUGAAUCAACUAGGCAAUUUAAACAAAAAAAAUAUUCUAAAUUAAUGAAAAAAAUUGUGAAAGUACCUAAGCUGCCAAAACCGUAAGUGAAUGAACUUGCUGGAACCAAACUAUAACUCACGUAAAUUGCCACUGGAAGUGAAGGAAAUCGCCGCUGGAAGUGAAGGAACUCGGAGGAACUCAAGAAACACCGAAAGUGAAGGAACUCCGGUGGGCGUAAUUGGAGCGAUAUGAGAUGUUUUUAGCUGAAUAUUGGGUUAAAUGUUUUGUUUGUUUUGUUUUGAGAAUUUGUAAGUGGUUGUUGUUGUAAGAAAAAUUAAAGUGUGGUCUUUUUUUAUAUUAAAAGUUGGAAAGUGGUCAAAUGGGUAAAUUUUCCAAAAUUUUAUUGAACCUAGGUUUCAAUCCGAGGUUAUCAUAAGGCAUGUGUUCCAUGGUUUUGAUUCAAUGGAAUUCCUUAAUCCUCCUUUAAGAAUUCUUCUUUCAGUUGGUACCUAUAUAUAGACCAAUUAUUUUAUCAUUUUUAAAUUGACAAGCUCGAUCUCACCCCAUUUACCUAAGAGAAACCAUGAAUCAAAAUAGAAGAACUUUCUCCACCAAUGAGUAAAUAUUUCAUAGUAAUCUCAUUAGACCGUAUGUCUUUUUUAUAUAUCUAGAUAAUAGAUAGGACCAUAAACUGAAAUAUUCUAAAACUACAAAGAUAGUUAUUAAAUCGUUAGCACCCAUAAAAACAUUCCUCCUAACACCAAAUUUUGUGCCUAGUUUCGAAUUUAAUUAAUGCAAGUGAAUGAUUUCGAGUACGAAAGGUGCAAAUCAGCACCAUUAUCAUUAUGAUUGAUUUUUUGUUUUUUUUUUUGUCAAGAUCAUUAGUAUUACGAGAGGAUCAUAGUGUUAUAUGAAGUCAAUGAUUUUGAAGAGAAGAAGCACAUAAAGUAAUAGAUAGAGAAGAGAUCUUGACAUAUUGCUAUACUAGAUCUCAUUCACAAAGAAAGAUAUACUUAAAUAGCCGAUAAUUUACCUUGUUCUAGAUUAAAAAAACAAGAAUUUCCUUUGGUCGUAUUAAAAAGCACAUCGAAAUGUACAUCAAUACACCAUUUUACACUCUAUCUUAUUUGAAAUAUAUUGAGUGAUUGGUGCGUAUUCCCUCGAAGAUUCUUGUUGAGUGUGCGAUUGGUGGAAAAAUAAUCAAAACCCCCUGUUGUUUGUCCAAUUUAAUCAUUUUCCUCUCAUAUUUUAAAAUCUCCUACUGUUAAAUAUUUAAAUGUAACUUCUUGUAUAUAUUGUUGUAUAUUGGGACAAGGUUGUCAAAUUUUCUCGAGCAAAUACAUUUUUUUAAUAUUCUCUGUGUCCCAAUAUAUAUAACAAGUUACAGAAUCAUUAAAAUAAACAAAAGUUUUAAAAAAUUUACUAGUAGUAUUCAGAAACGUAACUCUGACGGUUUAAUCUUGGACCUUUUGGAUGGUGUGUUGUCUUGAUAAAAUUAAGAAUAUUCAUUUGAUAUUCAUUUGUGACAAACCAGAAUUCCAGAUGUCCAGUUAAUUUAUGAAAAAAAUAAGUGCCUUUGUCUUUGAACAUUACGUGUUUCAUAAGGUAUUGAUCACUUUCAACGGCUUGUAAUUGGGUAUAAUAAACUCUUUUUUUAUCUUCUUCUCCUUCGUUGUUUUUUUCUCUUUUCCUUUGCUACUAUCGUUGUGAUUGAAACUUUUUGUUGUCGUGAUCAUUAAUUAGUGUCACAAGAGAAUUGUUUCAUUGAUUUGAUGUAGGUUGGUUGCAUGAGACAAGCAGGAUACCCUUUAAAGGUCAUAAUUGAUACAACAAAUAUUUGUUUUGGGCAUAUAAUAUACUGUUUUGAAGUUUGAGAAGAGACAAAGCAAACCCGGAAUGGUUUGCACAGUUUUGCCACAUGGUCAAAUCAAAAAUUUUAUUUUCCUCCUGUCAUUUUUCAGUUUUAAGAUAUUUUUCUUUUUUUUAAGAUUUGUAUUUUUCUCUAGAUGUCUAAUUUGAGAGUCGUUUGUUUUGUAUUUCUUGUUUAGAUUAAGAGAAUCUUAUUAUAAAAUAAUAUUUCAGAUUUGCUUAUUUUAAUAAAUUCGCGAUAAUUUAGGGUUAUUAUAUAAUGAGACCCAAAACCCUAGUUUUGUUAAUUUAGACUUUUUCAAUAAAACUUUUAUUAUUCAGAAAUUUUGAUUCUUCUAUCAAUCAACUUUAAGCGUUUCUGCAUCGUCAAUUCACUUCUAUUUAUUUCAUCUAAUCCAUAAAGUUAAAUUACAACAUAUAUAACAUGAACUCCAUGCAUGGGCUUUAAUGGCGGAACUCGGAAAAUUUUCAGGGGCCAAAUCUUUAGUGGCGUAAGCAAUAUGCGUAAAUUGUGCACAUAGGGUAUUGAAGAAAUACCAUAGCAGAUAAAAUAUUCAUGCUCAAUUAGAUGGCUGUGAGUAUUAAUGGAAAAAAAAAAGGCCAAAACGAAAAAGCAACCAAAAAAAAAUCUAGGGGCCCUAGAUUUAUUAACAUCGGACUUUUAAAAAUUGCAUGGGCCUUGUCUAUUUAUUUUUUAUUUUAUUUUUGGUUAUUAUUAUUUAUUAACACUUUGACUUUAUUUCAGAUUAACAGUUAUAUUUUUUUUCCUAUAUAUAACGGUUAUGUAUCACGAGUGCAUAGGCUAAAUUAGUCUUUUUAAUCUAAUUUUUCAUAUUUUAUUCAGAAAUUCCAAAAAAUUUCCAAACUCUGCCAGAGGCAUGACCCCUCUAACCUUAUAAAGCUCCACUGCUAGCUUCAAUUGAUUAUCAUCUUUUGCAUUCUCUGCUUAAUAUCUAGACAUCCUUUAGCCCUCUAUGAUAAAGCAUUGACCAUGUAUUUUUCAAUCAUCUUUCUUUUACUGGCCACUCGAGUUGAAAUCCUAGAGAGAUAUAUGCUAAGAAAUUAAUUUGAAAUUUACCCAGCCCUGUCUUUUAAAUAAACUAAAAAAAAAACUUUAGGUCUCUACAAAAUAUAUUUUCAAGUUUACAUGGAUUAACAAGCUUUAGGAAUGAUAGUAGGAUAGGGUACGGGUGGAGAGGCCUCCUCCAUUCUUGAACCAAUUAAAAAUUUAGCCCUCAUUCCCCAAUGGAUUUAAUGGGGUUGGGUGAAUCUCUAUGUACGGAAUAGUUUAUCCAUCCCCGCCUUAUUCUCCAUUUAUCUACUUUAUAGUAGAUUUUUAAAUAUAAAUUUCAUGAAAUAAAAAUUAAAAUGACUCAAAUAAAACCAUCACUUACAUUGUAAAGUAUUUAAAAUUAUUAAUAGUAAAUCAUGUUCAAUUUAUUGGAACAAUAUCUUGAAUCACAUAAAAAUGUAAAAUAUUUGAAUAAAUAACAAAAAAAUUUGGAGCCUACCUUUGAGCUCCUGCAUCAAUUCAACAAAAGAGAUAAAAUCCCCUAUAUAUGGCACUACAAGAAAAAGUACCUACUAUGACAGUCCUCUGUGUAACAGUUUUUGGUCUGGAGGCCUACAACAAUAUGAAAUACAAGUGUGCAACCCAAGAGGUGGGGUGAAUUGGAUUUUUAAAAAUUAACCUAAGCAAACCACACAACAAUUUAAUCUAAUGCCUUAAUGGAAUCAAAAACAAUAAAUUCAAUAAAGCACAAUAAUAAGAGAGUAAGGGAAGAGAAAAUAAACACAAUGAUUUUUACGUGGUUCGGCAAUCACCGCUUACGUCCACGCCUCCAAGCUCACCCAGCUUGAUGAUUUCACUAUCCAAGCCUCCCAAGGCUUCAAAUGCUUACAAUUGACUUUCAAGGUAUCAAUCAACCUUUUCACCAAGAGAUUAUCCACAUUCUCUUAACUCAAGUGUAUCCCAACACUUACAAUCACUCAAAACAAAUAUUACAAAUGUGUUUUUUCCUCACACAAAAUAUAUGAUUACAAAUCCAUACUCAAUGUGUGAAUAAAUGAAUCAAGAACAAAUUUAAAGCUUAAUGAAUGUUGUAUUCUCGCUUACAAACUCAAUGAUAAUGUUGUGAUCUACAUUUCUUUGAAUUUGAUUGAGCUUAUUUAUAGUUGGAGCUGAAAACUAGCCGUUAUUGACUUUCUGUUCGAAGUCGGAUUGCCGUUAACUCAAAGUCAGAUCGCUGUUUUGAAUGGUCUAAGUUACCAUUAGAUAGAAUUUCAAAUUGUUAGAUCGCCGUUUUCAAGAUGUCGGCUCGUCGUUAGUGUCCAGAGGCUAAUAUUUCAAUUCUGUGCAAUGUCGAUUAGCCGUUAUCUAGAUGUCGGAUCGUCGUUAGUGUCCAGAGGCUAAUCUUCAGCUCUGUUCGAUGUCGGCGAGCCGUUAUCAAGAUGUUGGAUCGCCGUUUUCUACAGUAACUGCUACAAUGAACUAUUUUGCAAAAUGACACUUUGACCCCAAAACUUUAUAUAACUGUACUAUGGCCCACAACGUUAUAACUUUUACAAAUAGGUCCAAUUUUAGAAUUUCUAAAUAAUACUUACUAUUUCCAAAACUUUUUAAAAUUAUGAUAUGGCCCAAAAUGCUAUGAAUACUUUUCAAAUAAAUUCUUCUCCAAAAUUUCAAGCAAUACUUGUUGAUUUCAAAGUUUUCAAAACUUUUUCAAUUAAACCAUCAACUUGAAAAACAACUAAUUUCAUAAAAUCAUUUUUUCAUUAAAUAUAAAACCUUUAAAAUGUGAAAAUAAUGAUUUAUUUAAAAUGUAUAAAAAUAAUUUGAGCUUUUAAAAACUUAAUCAUUCUUAAUUUUGUUUGUUAUCAUCAAAAUCAACCUUAUGAAUACAUAAAUGUUAACACAAUAAAAUCAUGAUCGAUUUACUUUCUGUCAUACACUUAUGACAUAGCUGUGAUAGAAAUAUCAUUUAUCAAGAAAUUAUGAUAUAUUGGUGAUAUAAAUAUCAUAUAUCAAGAAAUUAUAAUAGACUAGUGAUAAAUUAUUUGGCUAUCAAGAAUGAAAGACUGAUUUUUUAUUUUGACUUUAAUUGCGUGGGUUUGACUUAAUUUUUAAAAAUAUUAUAUUACUAAAAAAAGAAGUGAAACGAUGUCGUCUCAGUUGUAUGCCAAAUUAAAAAACAUUAUGUUUUGCAAGUGUUUGAGGAAAACCAGAAACGUAAAUAACAAAAAAUAAUAAUAAAAUGUUGUGUUUUGUAAAGGGGGGAAACAAUUUUGUGAGAAAAGAGGCAAAAAUUUUUCUAAGUGUUUAGAAAAUUUGCAAGCGUCAUUGUGGAAUCUCAAAAUCGAUUAGCACACUUGUAGCAAACCCUCAAAGGCCGGCCAUAGCAAACUAACGACACCCAAACACCCAUCGUUUCAAAAUCGUUUUGGUUGUUUCAUUGAAUCGUCUCUCUUUACUGCAGUUGUCACUGAACCAUCUCUCUUUGUUGGGACGAAGUCAGUGCUAAUCGAAACCCAAAUUGGAAUGAGAACAACAUACAUGGUACUUUUAUUGACUGAAAGAAACCCAAUCGCUUACCAUGAAAGAAGACCCAAAUCAUUGUUGCCGAAGUUGAAACCCUAGGCUUGACGGUGAAUUGAAGCUUCACACCAACUAGUGAGUCGUUUCUACAUUUGCAUGUAUUUAAUUUUGACUAUUUAUUCAACUUUUAUGUAAAGUAGUAAAUAAUUUGUAAAAAAAUGAAAUGUAUUUGCAUGUAUUGCAUAUAUUGCAUAUAUUUCGGUAAUCAAUUUACUAAAUAAUUUCCUAGGAAGAUAGUCUUUAAAAAUAUUUUGAGUUCUGUUUUAAGUUGUAAUCGUGCAUUGCAUAAUGUUGUUAAUUUUUUUUAUUCUAGGUAAUUCUGAUUUAUAUUCAUGUGUCUGUGUGUGAUUUUUUUUUCUAGCUAUUUCUGAUAUUGAAGCUUUGUUAAGUUAAAUGAGUGUUAGUGUAUGAAGAUGGUGAUAAUCUGCAACUUAUAUAUCUUUAUGUUCUAAUAGUUGAUUCUUUAAAUAUUGGCCUAAAAUGUCUAUAACAAAGCCUGAGGAGGGAUUCGUAGUAAUUGAUUCUAUUAUGUAAAAUUGAGGGAUUCUCACAUCUCAUUGUCAUCUACCUAUGCAUGAGGUGUUGUAGCUAUUUUGCAUCUACUGGUAUUGUUGUUACUAUUGUUGUCUUCAGUCGUAACAUUUGCGUGUCAAAUAUAAAUAGUUGUGAUUGCUGCAUAAACGUGACAGUUCGAUGUUCUUGAUUUGUUGAAGGCUUUGUAUGAAGGUACUUGAAGCUUUCUUUGUGUUUGCUUUCAUUUUUGUUCUACUGAUGUAUAUUAUUUGAAGUUGUAGUUUAUUAUUUCUUCUUAGGCUUACUCAUAUGAUUAAUGUAAUUUCUUGGUACCUUUUUAGCCCUCUUGAAUCCAAGUUUUGGAAUUCUAUCAACUGAUCAUUCAAAAUAUAUUUCAGUAAUAAAUAUUGUUGUUGGAUUUGUACCUGGAAUUGGAUAUAGCAGCAAAUUGUUGUGUUUAAUCUGGUAAGUUCCAUUUCUUAUCCUCUAUUAUUUGACUUUUUGAAGUUGUUAUGCACUUGCUUAAAAUUUACAUAUCUUUAAAUUUAUAAUUAUGAUACUAUGUAAUGUGUUUGUUGUGGGGCCUAUCUUAUUUAUUAUAUUUAUAGUAUAAUAGGAGAGUGAACUUUUGAAAAGUAUGAAUUUCAAUUUAUCAGCUUUCUUGGUUACUAUAUUUGUAAUUUUGAAAUUUGUUUCUGGACCAUGACCAUGCUUUUCCGUAAAGUAGGUUGUUUCUUUAAUAUAAAAGAGAAAACUAUAUAGGCCAAAUUGUGUUUAAUUUGAAAGGCCUCAUGUAGGUUUAACUUUGUUUAUUUCACAUGGUGUUGUAACAUUAGACAAAUAUUCUAAGUAUGUACAUUCUUUCUUUGUUUUAUGUAUAUGUCAGGAACAUUAAUUAUUAAGCCAAAAAUGGAUAAAUCUUGGAUUCAAUGUAAUCGACUGUCGACUGAAUAUGAAGAGGGUGUCGAGAAAUUUAUAAAUUUUGUUAUAAAAAAUGCUGGAGGCAGUAGUGUCAUUAGGUGUCCAUGCCUUGAUUGUUAGAAUUUAUCAUUUGAAACACCUACAACUGUAAAAGAUCAUUUAUAUAUGCAUGGUUUUGAUGUGAAAUACGACAAUUGCUUUUGGCAUGGGGAAGAGAUUCGUAAGAGUCCUUCUCCUCAAAGAGAAAACCAUUUUCAGCAAUAAAAUAUAGAGUUUGACAAUGAUAAUGAGUUAGAAAUAGUUAAUGAUGCUUAUAAGGGUUGUUGUGGGGACCCUAAGGCAUUCAAAGAGUUGCUAAAAAAAACUGAGAAACCCUAAUACCUAGGAUGCACAAAAUUUGCUAAGUUAUCCUUUUUAGUGAAAUUGUUCAAUGUGAAGGGUAGAUUUGGGUGGUCUGACAGUAGCUUUUCUGCAUUGUUGAAUGUUUUAGCAGAUGCUUUCCAUGAAAAAUAAUGAAAUUCCAACCUAUAUGUAUGAGGCCAAAAAGACAAUGUCAGCUUUGGGCUUAGAAUAUGUUAAAAUUCAUACUUGUCCAAACGAUUGCAUACUCUACAGAAAAGAGUAUGAAGGUUUUUUUGAAUGUCCUACUUGUGGGUUACGUAGAUGGAAGAAAAAAGAUGGUAUUGUAGACUAAUAUAGGAAAGCGGUUCCUACAAAAACUUUAUGGUAUUUUCCUCUUAUACCUAGGUUUAAGCGCAUGUUUUAGUCAUCAGAAACUGCUAGGGACUUGACUUGGCAUGCAAAUGAGAGAAUGGUUGAUAGUAAACUCCGACAUUCGGCUGACUUACCAUCUUGGAAGUUAGUAUAUGAGAAAUGGCCGAUCUUUGCAUCUGAUCCUAGAAACCUUCGCCUAGCUCUAUCAGCUGAUAAAAUCAAUCCACAUAGCUCUCUUAGUAGUACAUAUAGCUGCUGGCCAAUAAUUCUUAUUACUUAUAAUCUUCCACUAUGGUUAUGCAUGAAACGAAAAUUCAUGAUGUUGUCCCUCUUGAUUUCUGGUCCUCAACAACCGGGUUUAUACAUUUAUGUGUAUUUGCAACCUCUUAUUGAGGAUUUGCAAACUUUAUGGGAUGUUGGGGUGGAGGCAUAUGAUGCCUACAAAAAUGAGUACUUUAAUUUGCGGGCUGUAUUACUAUAGACAAUAAAUGACUUCCCGGCAUAUAAAAAUUUAGUAGGAUGUACUGUUAAAGGAUAUUAUGCCUGCCCAUAUUGUGGUGUAGAAAUACCAAAAUGUAGACUUAAACACAGUGGAAAAAAUGUAUACAUUGGGCAUCGCCUUUGGCUUCCUCAUGGUCAUAAAUUUCGGUUCCAAGCAAAAACCUUUAACAAUAGUGUGUGUGAUGAAACCCCUCCAAAACUGUUAAACGGUGAGGAAAUUUUCCAGCUGGUCAACUCUAUUGAUAAUAGAUGAGGGAAAAGCAAUAGUAAAAAGCAUAAAAGUGAGAACAAUGAUGAUCUCGUGUGGUGGAAGAAGAAAUCCAUAUUUUAUAAUUUAGAGUAUUGGAAGCACUUGCUUGUGUGGCAUCAAUUAGAUGUUAUGCACAUUGAAAAGAAUGUGUAUGAAAACAUCUACGGUACACUGCUACAUAUUCCUGGAAAGUCCAAAGAUGAACUGAAGUCGAGGAUGAAUCUCUUGGAAAUGAAAUAUAAGCCCAAAUUAGCACCACAAGUUAAGGGAAACAACAAUCGUACAUGGCUUCCUCCUGCUUGCCACACCUUAACUAAGGAGGGAAAAACCUUAAUGAAGAAGAAGUGGACAGGAGUGUUCUUUGGAAGAGAGCUCGGCAAAUGAAAAAUAGAGGAUACCACCCUGAUUUUGAACCAGUUAUUAAAAAAAUCGUAAGAAAUUUUUUGCUUACUACUGUAAUUUUAGAUGUGAUUACUUAUACUUUGAUAACAUUAACUUACUUAAUUCAUUGGUGUGGUAGGAUAACUGGAGAUGGAAGCUAAAAAAGGAAAGAUGCGGCCAUCCGGAAAAAAUGAUAUUCUCACACAAUCUUUGGGAAAAGCUCCAAAAUGUGGUCAUAUGCAAGGAGUGGGCAAGUUUGUAACCCUGUCUCUGUAUUUUCAAACUUGCCAGAGGCCUGCUGAUAGAGACAGGCAAAGAGAGAACCGUCUAUGGAGGGAAUCAAUUAACCGGCAGUUGGAAGAAAUAAGAAAAACACAUCGUCAUUCAGAUAUAGCAAGUUCCAGCUACCCUCGCGUGCCUGUUGAAAACAAUAAUGCUGUCGGAGAUGAUGGCCUAGAGUCCGUUCAAGCUGAAGCAGUUGCUGAAACACCAAAGGUCAGUUUGUUUACUAUUUUACUUAUUAUUUCUGGAUUUAUUUUGUUGCAAUUUUACUUCUUCUACUUAACUGUAUAUACUUGUUGAUGGAUAAGGGUUGCUGUAGUUACUGUUCUUACCUGUUGUUUGUGGAUUUAGUUUGCUGUAUGUUUACUAUUUAUACAUAUGUUGUUUCUGGAUUUUCUUUGAUACUGUUAACUACUUUGUAAGAUAAAUUUAGAGUAUUUAGAAACUACUUAUGCCAAUCACACUGAACAAUUAUGUUUGUAGUAGCUUGAUCAUUUGAAAAAAAAAAGAAGCAAGGGACACCUAAAAACACAGUAGAUAUGAACUUGCCAAUAGUAAACUGUAAGAAAGAGACAAACAUAGCAAACAAAAACAAGGAUACACCUGCCAAAAAACUCGCUGUCAUUGCAAGAAAGAGUCCAAGAUUGAACCCAACUGAAAUCUCAGUGGAGAUGCCUGAUGAUUUGUUACAAGGAAAAAAAAAUGGCAACCCUAAAUAUCAAGGCACAAAAAAACAUUUAAACUUUAAAUCAGUAGAACAACAUAAUGAUAUAAUAAAGAUAAGACAUACAAAUGCUGUAAACACAGACCAAGGACGAGGGCAAAAAAGUUACAGUGAAGCCUUUGCCAGCAAGGAGGAACACAAGGCAUGCAGGAGGGGUACAACGAAACAAGAUUCCGUUGCUGCAGUUGUUUGGCAUAAUGUGUAAAGCUAAGAUGUCAGACCAAGAAUGGAUUCCAUAUCUACUGGAUGAUGUUGUUUUCCAAUUGGAAGGGAUUAGAGCUCAUAUUGGGCGGCGUGACUGCAGUGCAGUUCUGUCAAUGGAUGCUAUAAGAGUAAACGUAAUCGAAGUCUAUAUUGCGUAAGUGAUUUAUAAUCAUUCUAGUUUUAUGUGUACUUUUUAUAGGAGUCCCAAUUAAUGGACUUUAACAUUGUUUGUCUUUUGUUUAUCAGGAUGUUGUAUGCUUCCAUUCUCCAUGGGAAAAGAGGAGUCAAACUAUUUGGAUUCAUCCAUCCAGGUCUAGUUUCACUAGGCGAAGAACGUAAUACUACUGCAUCAUUUGACCUUAAGGCAUGUGGAGUUUGUGAUCGGUUGAAAAAAAUGAAGAAGUGACAAUUCAUCUUUAUGCCUUAUAAUCCCUAGUAUGCUCCUUUAAUACUUUUCAACUCAUAUUAAUUUCCUUUCUUACCUUAAUUUACUGAAAUUGCUACCUUAAUGUUCUUUAUUUUAUUAUAGUUAUCAUUGGGUGCUGGUCAUCUUUGAAGUGUUGAAAAAAGAAGUUUAUUAUCUCGAUUCUUAUGGGGGAGAUCCUUAUGAUGAUUUAAAAGAGCUCAUUAAAGUGUAUGUUCAAUUUUUUUUUAUUACCAUUGUCAAUAUGAAAUUACUUUUACAUAGUUUACAGAUACUUUGUUACAAUUUUUUUUUUUUUUUUGUAUACAACUCUAUGACAAUGUUUAUAGCACAAGAAGAUUAAGAGAAAUGAAAUUAUAAUAAGAUGGUCAGAUCUGUAAAGGUAAAAAGUAUUACCUUAACUAUAAUUAUAUAUUACCAUGCUUAAUUGUUAUUAUAAUGAACUGUGCAAUUGUUGAUUGUGAACAGGUCCCACAGCAACCAGCAAGUUCAGUCGUGUGUGGAUUUUAUGUCAUGAGAUUCAUAAAAGACUUAAUUAAUGACUUCUCUUUGCUAAUGAACAAUGUGAGUUCCUUGAUCAUAAUUUUCUUUAUAAAAAAGAACAUGUCAUGUGUUAAAGUUUCACUACAUAAUAUUUAUUUUUCAUAAACAGUUCAACGGAAAGACAACAUAUUCCGAUGCUGAAUUAGAUGAAGUCCGUAUUGAGUGGGCAAACCAUUUUUCUGGAGUACUUGUUAUGUGAGGUAACCCUUACCUAUUAUGUUGUUAUUGUGAGUUCAUUGAUGAAAUAAAUUAAUUUACUAGCUAUAUUUUACUUAGGCAGUUAUCUAGCUUAUUAUACUUCUAUGUUGCAUUAUGAUGAAGAUGGUGGGUACUGCUGGAGUUGACUAGUUUUUUUCUUUGUUUGGAAAAUAGCUCCUGGAUAUUGAUGCAAUUUUACACAUUUCGGUUGUUCUUAGGUUGGAUUUUCACGUUUGGGAACUGCUAACCUUGUCUGAUCAAUAUGUUUGGCUUCUUCUUGUGUUACUGGAAAUGUUGCUAGAAAUGAACUAUGUUGUUGCCUUUCUUCAUGUUGGUAGAAAUGACUCUGUUGUUGGCUUCCUUAUGCUACUGGAAUGGAACUGAUCAUGGUUCAUUGGUGUUAUACAUGUUGCUUGAAUUUAGUUUUUAUAUUGUUAUAAUACUCCUCUUCUAUUUAUGUUGGACUUGUCACUCUCAAAUUUGAUUAAAUUAUGUUUGCUGACAAUUAUGAAUAAUUAGUCAAUGUUAUCCAUUUCAUUUUCUUUGUCAGUGAUUUUUAAUUGCAAUAUUAAUUUUAAUAAUCUAAUUAAUUAGCUAAUUUAUGAUAUAUUAAUUUCUAAUAAAUCAAUUACAGGAUUGUUAUUAAAAUGAUAAUAUUUUCAUGGUGCAAACAAAAUACCCAAUUUUUAUUAAUUAUAAUUUCAAUUUUUGAUUUAAUUGAAAAUUUUCAUUUAAUUAUAAUUUGCAUUUCGUGACAAAUUUAAUUUUCCGGCCAAAAAUUCAAAAUAUGGCGCACAAAUUUUUUUAAAAAAGAGCCAAAUUCAAAUUUAUUAUAUUCCCCUCUAAAUAAAGUUAUGACAGUUAUGUGACUGGUAAUAUCUAUCACAUAUUAUGACUAAUAUUGUUCUGUCAUCAAUUCUUGACGCUGGCUACAAUGACGGUAUGAACAACCGUCAUCCACCCCUACUAUGAUAGUUUUUGCCUGCAUAGUAGGCAUUUUUUCUUGUAGUGUGGGGAUUAGGGUGGGAGUGGGAUGAGAAGUACAAAACUAAGGCCACCUCAUUAAGGAUUUGAGGAUUAUGUUUCCUGGCCUAUUCCCCAUAAACUUAUCAAAAUUUAUCUCAUUUAGAAUGUGCCCCUUGGAGUCCCAAACGUAUAGAGAAUUUUGCCUCCCAUAGCAAGCUUAGUAUGCUGGUUACAAUACUCAAGAUUAACCGUUGAUUAUUCAUCACUAUGUCUAUUAUUACAUACGACCUCAUAUCUAUUAUGAGUGUAUACUAGAAACAUAAAAUGACAUAUUGACUCUUAUACGUACCUCAUUGUAGUUGCUUAACGUCUAGUAACAGUAGCGAAAUGUACAUCAAUACAUCAGUUUCCACUGUUAUGAGUGUACAUUGUUUUUGCGAAACAAAAAAUAUUGGCUGCUCGGUGUGUAGAAUUCUUGCCAUUGGUGUAUGGAUUUCUUGUAAAAUAUUGGUUUGUGCUCAAUGUAUAUUUAUUUCUCAUUAGGCGGUUGGUGGAAAAAUUAUCAAAUCUCUUACUGAUAAAAUAAAUUUUUUACGUCUUUUAUUAUUUAACCCCUAAAAAUUUUAUUGAUCAAAAGUUGGUGGGUUUUUAAUGAUAUCAGGAAUAAUAUAAUAAAAGACACAAAAUUUUGAAAUUUGACAAUGUCUUUUUAACAUCUUAUGAUCUACAUUGUUUUAAAAAAGUAGGGGAAAUAAUUAUUUUUCUCAAACAAUAGGGAGAUUUUGAUCAUUUCUCUCAUUGCUAGUUGAGAUGUAAAUGUAGAGGACUAAAGAGUGUGUGUAUUUAUGCUGCGAGCGCCUUUAUUUUUUUUUUUAACACGAACAAAUUGUUAAGCUAUGGAGUUUAAUAACAUUAAAAACUGACUCUAUUAAACCUCAUAUCUUAAAAGCCUAUCCGCAUAAAAAAAUAAUAAUAGGGUGUCCGCACUAGAGAAUGACUAUAUAUAUAUAUAUAUUCAAAUAUAGUUGUUAAAUUUUAAUUUUGUCAAGCAAACACAUUUUUUUUUAAUAUUCUUUUCUUUUCUUUCUCAAUAUAUAACAAGUUAUAUCACUACAAUAAAUAUUAUCUUUUACAACCAAUCAAAAAUGAUGCGAAAACACAAUUACAACAUUUAUAAAAAUGUCCUAACGAAGGAUGCAGUAAAUAACAUCAAACUUUUGUAGCCUUUUUCAGCUGCAGUAAGAAACACUGCAUAAAAUGCAGUUUUCUAGGCCAUUUGCUAUAAGAGUAAAUUGCUGCAAAAAUUAGUAAAUAAAUAUGGAAAUCUGCUGCCAGUAAAAUUGAUAACAGUUCAAUCAAUUAAGAAUAAUCUCCAUAAAAUCAUUUGAACGUGGCAUCCAUACAACAAAAGUUUAGUUGAAGAUUGUUAAAUCUCUACACUAAAUAUAAUACUCAAAGUGUAAACUGAAACUCUUGCCCAGGUUAAUGUUUUUUUCCCUUGACUUGUAAGAUUCAAGUAUAUGUAUGAACAAAAUUAGAAACUAUAAGCCUACUCCAACAAGAUGUUCCUCAAAUAGUUUUUUGAGAUCUUUUAGUUCCAUUUUAAUUUGUGCAGUAUGAGACUUGCUAAGUGCUUCUAAAUUCAUCAUCGUUGGUGUAACUCCAAAUCCAGCUCCUCGUAUACGCCCAUUACGUUCUUUUCCUAUCACAUGGGUCAGAGCAUCAUCGUGAAUUGUUGAGGCAUCUUCACUCACAUGUGUCCUCUGAUAUUCAUUAAUUGUUUUUGAAUCCAUGGAGAAUUUUGAUUGUUAAUAGCAAAAAAAUAAGAAUAAAGAACUAAAAAAUCAUAAAGAAUUUAUCACCAGUUUUUUAGCAACAUCCUCAUUAAUUGUAGUCCUGUCCUUCUUAGUAUGUGCACGAAUCCACACAUCAACUCUAGUUAUCGGUGAGUUUGGUCUCUCUUGCAUCUAAAAUAUGUAGUGGAGAACAUUUUAUUACUCAUCUAAUUUUUUGUGUAAUAAUAAAUAAACUUAAUGAUAUGAUUUUUCUAACCAUUUCAUGUCUUAAACGAGCCAUCCCUUUUCGACUUGUCCUGUGGAUGUUAGUUUGUUUUGAUCUCAUUUUUUUAAACCUCUUACUCUUCAACUAUAGUAAGAAGAUAUGUUAGAUUAAUGACACUAUUCUUGUACACUAAUAAGAAAUUAUACUUGUACAUUAAUUGGGAAAGAAACUUACUUUAAACCUUUACCAUUGUUGCUCAGAUUUAAUGUUCCUUGGUCUCAAGUCUUUCAAUGCCUCAAGCUUUCUUGUUACAUCAUUGCUUUUAACCAAUGCUCUGAUUUUAUGUGUUAAAACUGAUUUGUAAUUCCUCCAGCUCCUACCCAUUGCACUCAUUAUAUAUCUUCUAUGACUUCCAUCAACAUUAAAUUGUUGCUGCAUUUAAAGGGAAAAUAACAUUAAUAAUUAAAUUUGAUAAGUUAAAUAAUAUUUACCACAAAAGUAGGAUGCUACCUUAACACAAGUCCAAAGUCUUUCUCUUAAGUCUGAUUCCACUCUAUGCCAACUAUCCAAGGUCAACGGUACCAUUUGUCGUACUAAAUAACCAAUAAAAGAAGAUAACCUAUUUGAAUUUCUACCAACGGGGUUAUUAUUGGUUGCUUCGAAUUGAGAUAAGUGGAUUCAUGCAUAACGUUUAUGAUAUAUAUGUACGAAUUUAUGUAUGAAAAAAAUAAUGUUGUUCAUAAGGAUUGGCAUAUUUAUAGUUUUGAAGUAUUUUGUUGUUAUAGUUUAUAAUAAUGAUUUACAUUUUGGUUUAAAGUUUAUUUAAAAUGUUUUCUUAAAUUGUUUUUAAAAAAAUGGCUUUAAAAUACUUGUGUUCCAUAAAUUGUUUUUCCUUAAAAAUUAUAUAACUUGUAAAGCUUUGCCAAUUAAAUUUCUUAUAAGAGACUUAAUUGAAUGAUUGAUAUUGAAAGAUUGAAAAUUAUUUUAAGGUUUUGGCUCAUUGUCCUUAGUUACCAAUACUGAUAUGACUUAAUAGUUAACUGUAUUGUGUGCUCCUAUUGACGAUUAUUGCGGGGUAAAGUACCCUGAUUGAACUACCAACCGGCUCACCAAGAGUACAUGUGACACUAUGAGGCAUGAGCAAAAUUAAACAAAUGAAAGGUUGUAUUGACAAAUGAUUAUUUAUUGAAAAUGGUCAUUAUGUUAUGACAUUAUUGGUUAUAAAUUUUACUGUAUAAAUGUAUUAGAUUAUAAAAUGAUUACUGAUUCAUGGCACUUAAUAAUUAUUAUUAUGUACUUCAUCCUUAUUAGCAACCUUAUGUAUGAGUUUACUUACCAAGCUGACGGCUCAUCCCUUGUCUCCAACAUUUUGCAGAGUGAUGUUAGAGAUGGUUUUUAGAGAAAAGAUUUGUUAGCCGAAAGCUUUGGACAUUUUCGUGAUGGAUAAAUUGUUGCUAUUUUGGUUAUUAUUUUAGAGCUGAAUUUGGUAUUGGAGGAUUAUUGUUAUAUUUAUUAUUUUAGAGACUAUGUUUCGACCUUGGACAUUAUUGAUUUUCUUUUGGGAAUAGUAAUAAGAAUUAAUUGUUUAGAGAUUGCAUUCUAAAUUUCUUUUAGAAUUCUUGGGAAAAUUUGGGGUGUUACAAAACUAUUGCUCAAGAUUGUUCCAAAGCUCAUGAGAAAUUUUAAAGUUUAGCAUAAGACUGAGAAUUUCCAAACUGAUAGAGGACAUCAGCCAGCUCAGUAGCACUUGAUUCUUUCUCUUUUAGGCAGUGAAUGCUAGAUUUUCUUAUGUAACUUCCGCAGUGGAGUUGUUAGUUUCAUCAGGAAGAAACUGAUCUAGAUAGUGUUUGGAACUAUCAAGAAGAUCUUCAAGUCCAUUAGCACGAACUGAAGUGAGAGUUUGAGAUUUCCAUAUCAUGUAGUUUAAUAUAUCAAGCUUAACAAGUGAGGUAAAGGUGAAUGAGGAAACAGAGGACACUAUGUUUGGAUUUGAGCUUGAAGUAGCCAUAAGAGCUUAUACAUCUAGCUUUGAUACCAAGUUAAAGUUUGAGUUCUUGUCUGGUUAGUGAAAUGAGGGAAAAUUUAGAAAGUUGUGAAUUGAUUCAAUUAUAUUAAUACUGCUUCAUUAAAAUCCACUUUUCCAACCACAGACGCAACCAAUGAGAUACAUAACCAGUGAGCUAGAUGCAUAGAGUUGUAUGUUUUGGUGCAACUCUUUGUUAUGAUGUAUAAAAAAUCGCCAUCACAUUUCAAUUGUUUUCUAUGAAGCUAAUGAAAUUUUUGUCUGUCAAAGUAACCAUGUCGUUUUCAUUAAUAAGUGGUGGCAGUGUGGUGGCAGCGCCUUGUGGUUGGCCAAGCGGUGAGUAUCUCCAAGGUUUAGAACGACCGUGACAUAAACUUGACUGGGGGAUGACAAAUUAUAAUAUUGUUGAGUAAGAGGUGUGAAGGUGCUAAGGAUUUUGAUGAGAAGAAGAAAUGAAAGUAAGAGAAAUAGAAAUGAUUCUGCUCACUACAAGAAAAAUGUUAUUUUAUUACAAAAAAUUUCGUCAUUAAAGAUAACAAAUUAGUCAUCUUAUAUUUUUUAUGAUAAAAAAUAUAUCGUUACACGUUAGUCGUCGAAAGACUGUCUUAAAAACUUCUAGCGACCAGAAUUAUUUUCGUCAUAUUAAAGAUAUGUUUUUGUGACAAAAAUUAUUGUCUUAAAAUUAAGUUAAAAUUGUCACAAACAAUAUUAAAAAAGAUCGAAUUAGAUAUUCAAAAAAGCAAUUAAUGACACUUCAUAUUUGUCACAAUUGUUGAUUUAUAGUGACUAUAGUAUUUGUCUCAAGAGUAUGUAAAUAGAGUCUCAAUAAUUAUUAAAAAUUGUCAUUUUAGAGGUUUGGAUAUACAAUUAGCAAUGCUAUUUUUCUGUUAUUGAAGUUCACGCGGCAAUAUACAAUUGGUAAUUAAUUUAGUCUCAAAUUUGUUAUGAAGGCGGUUUAUAUAGUCUCACAUAAAUUUUAAUAACAAUAUGUAGUUAUAGAAAUCAAAAUUUAAUGACAAAAGAACUUUAAAGUGAAAAAUAUUAUUAACAUAAAUACAAUUCAUGACAAAGAAAUCUAAAAUCUAAAAUGUAAAAAAAAAAAAAAUUCAUGUCCAAAAAUAUGAUUACAUUGUAGAAGAAAAAUAAAAGUAACAUUACACAAACGGAGAGAUAUGUAAACCAUAGUUGUUUCAUGAAUUCUUCAACUUCCUUAGAUUUGCUAUUUUCUUCCUUGAUUUUAAUUUUUGAUUCUCGUUUUGUUGAGUCAAUGUUGUGGUAGAUGAUGACUUUAAAGGUACAUGUCAUUUUAAAUCUUUACAAAAUUAAAGAUUUUCCCCAAAACUAUUUAGCAAAUUUAAUCAUAUAUUACUUCAAAAUAAUAAUAUAAUCAAAAGAUUACAAGCACAUAAUCAUCCUCGAUUCACUUGCACAAAUUUUACAUCCAAAACUCUUUAAAUUAAUCUAUCAAAUAGUUGGAGUCAAACUUGAACCAAAUUAAACUAUUAAGCAGUCAAUGAAUCAAUAUUUAUAAUAAAUAUAAAAUUGAAAGAAAUAAGAGAUUGAGUAAAUAAUAAUAAUAAUAAUAAUAAUAAUAAUAAUAAUAAUAAUAAUCAUCAUCAUCAUCAUCCUCCUCAUAAGAUAGCUUACACAUUUAGAUUUUGUAUGGAAACUACUUGAACCUUUUACGCUCACUUUAAUACAUCUUCUGAAACAAAGUAAUCUGGGAGAGACUCCACAUAAAAGAAGAUAAAUACAUUAAUUUUAAUUAAACAUACAACAACCACAUUAGGGGAAAAAAACCAAGGCUUGUUGACCUUUAUUAGUUUAUUUAAUCACUUCAUAUAUGUUUCCUGGGAAAUUCAACAACAUUUUGAGCAAAUUGUACCAACCCAAGCUUCAACACCAUCCUGCGAACCAACAUAUCAAGCUUCAUAAUAUUUGAUAGUUAAGAUUUUGUUCUAUAACUCUAACUUAUAAUUAUUGGUUGGACUUGAAUAACUUAUUAACUCUUUUUCAUUAUAUUAAUACUAGCUAAAAUUUUCUUUAAAAAUUAAAGAAAGAUGAUUAAUUACAUACCAAGAUGAAGUGAACGAUAAUAGAAAUAUCCCAAUUUUCUAAGUUCUUACGAAGAAUUUUUUUGGUUGUUUUGGUGUUUGGCGGGGGGGGGAGNNNNNNNNNNNNNNNNNNNNNNNNNNNNNNNNNNNNNNNNNNNNNNNNNNNNNNNNNNNNNNNNNNNNNNNNNNNNNNNNNNNNNNNNNNNNNNNNNNNNNNNNNNNNNNNNNNNNNNNNNNNNNNNNNNNNNNNNNNNNNNNNNNNNNNNNNNNNNNNNNNNNNNNNNNNNNNNNNNNNNNNNNNNNNNNNNNNNNNNNNNNNNNNNNNNNNNNNNNNNNNNNNNNNNNNNNNNNNNNNNNNNNNNNNNNNNNNNNNNNNNNNNNNNNNNNNNNNNNNNNNNNNNNNNNNNNNNNNNNNNNNNNNNNNNNNNNNNNNNNNNNNNNNNNNNNNNNNNNNNNNNNNNNNNNNNNNNNNNNNNNNNNNNNNNNNNNNNNNNNNNNNNNNNNNNNNNNNNNNNNNNNNNNNNNNNNNNNNNNNNNNNNNNNNNNNNNNNNNNNNNNNNNNNNNNNNNNNNNNNNNNNNNNNNNNNNNNNNNNNNNNNNNNNNNNNNNNNNNNNNNNNNNNNNNNNNNNNNNNNNNNNNNNNNNNNNNNNNNNNNNNNNNNNNNNNNNNNNNNNNNNNNNNNNNNNNNNNNNNNNNNNNNNNNNNNNNNNNNNNNNNNNNNNNNNNNNNNNNNNNNNNNNNNNNNNNNNNNNNNNNNNNNNNNNNNNNNNNNNNNNNNNNNNNNNNNNNNNNNNNNNNNNNNNNNNNNNNNNNNNNNNNNNNNNNNNNNNNNNNNNNNNNNNNNNNNNNNNNNNNNNNNNNNNNNNNNNNNNNNNNNNNNNNNNNNNNNNNNNNNNNNNNNNNNNNNNNNNNNNNNNNNNNNNNNNAUCAAAAGCGACGUGCUAAAGGAGGGACAGCGCUGCUACCUCUGCAAAAGUGAAGGACAUUGUCCCAAGGACAAUGGUCCCUAGCCGCCUACCCGACAGAUACUGCAGAGGUACCCUGAACACUCUCCAGCGCACGCCACGUUUCCAAAAGAUGAGAUACGCCGCGAACAUGCAAAUAACGGCCCAAAAACAAUUAUAAAGAGGUAAAAGGACGUUAGCCAAAAAGGGUAUGCCACGUGGCAGCUGAGGUACUCCAUAUAUAAAGGUGCCUAGGUUUCAUUCUCCAUCAUGUUCUCACUCACCAUUAACACUCACACUCCGAAAAUAGAGGUUUUCUUCAACCUUAAACCCUAAAUUUACAGAGGGCUGGCCAGCUCUCUUUACCAUAAAAGCUUGAGUUUGCUAACUUGAGCGUCGGAGUGUGAAGCCGGGGUACCCCGGCUUCACCUCUAACCUCAAUUUCACUUUUUGCAGGCGUGAAGCUCAUUUGGAAGGACACCUCUCUUGUUUCUGACAUUCCACCAUUGUUACUACUCUCUCUCUCCCCUUCUCACCUCCCCCGGAUUUUAGAUACACCACACCGCACACAACAAACCAGUGAGGUACCCCAUCUCCCCCAAAAAUAUAAAUUUAUUGUUCUAGACUGGUUUGGCUUUUCUUACCCCAAAAUCAGUUGAAAACAAUAGGUAAAGACGACUAUUUGUUAAACUAAUCUUGAAAUAAUCAUUCACACACACCAGCAAUUGGAAGAGGGGUUGGGGUGUUGGGAAGAUAACGUUGGGUAGUUUUGAACGUGAAGUGGCCACUUAAUGUGUCUCUGAAAAUUUAGGUUUUAUUUAAGUUUUAUUUUUUCUAAUAUAUAUAUCCAACUUAAAUAACUAUUAUAAGGUCCUUCUAAAAAUAAAAAAGAAGCAAUUAUAAGGUUAUUAUCAAUGGUUUGAAGAAAAAAAAGUCAAUCAUCAUUUUUUAUUAAUCCAAGUUAAUUAUUUUUAGGCUAUUAUUUUAAUUUUUAUUAAUCUAGCAUUGUUAACCAAAAUUUGUAUGAAGCUAAACAAUAAUGUCUCUCUGAAAAAGAAAAAAUAUCAAUUAUUAUUCUCUUUUUUUUUUAGUGACGUAAUUUUCGUCAUAAAAAAAUUAAUCAGAUACUAAAUAAUUUGUCUCUGAAAAAAUGGUCAUGAAAUACAAUAUUACUCAAGACAAAAUUUUAGACUAUUAUUUUUUAGUUUUGUUACAGUAAGUAAUUAUCUAUGACAAAAAAAAAGGGUCUUAAAAUUAAUCAAAUCCAUAUUAGUUUUGGAGACUAAUAUUUUUCUGUCACAAAUUAUUUGAUCAAUUUCACAUCUCUUCUUCAGUUACGAAAUAAUAAUGUCACCUAUAAUUAAAUUUUGCUACCGUAUUUUUUUAUCAUAAAAGAUGAUAUUUUGUCAGAAAAUGGUCAAUUUUGGAGGGAAGUUUUUAAGCAAAAAAAAUGCAUGUCCUUUUGCGACUAAUUUUAUGUUUGUCGUAAAAUAUUUGAUUAGGUGACAAAUUACUGGGUCGUAAAAUAAAUAUUAUUGAUUACAAAAUAUAACAUAAGCCAAGAUGAGAUUAUUGGCUACGGUUUUAAAAAACAAUCGUCAUAAUAAAUACUAUUUUAUGACAAAAGCUGUAAAAGUCAUAGAAGAAGGCAUCUUAAAAACUCAAAUUUCUUGUAGUGGCUGUUGUCAUUUAGUUAUUGCUUUUUAUGAUAUUCAAAAAAGUGUUGAGAAAGAUGAUCAUGUUCUCUGAAGAUAAAAUCUAAGUAUUCGCCCUACUUCUUGCCUUUGAUAACAUGAAAUCUUGUAUGAAGUGAAUUGUUGCUUGAUAAAGUUAAGGAUACCAUCCGACAAUGAUAUGCUUACAAAAAGUAGUAUAAAAAAUAGCUCACCAUCACUGAAAGAUAGAUAAAAUAACCAGAGAACAAUUUUUUUUUUUUUUGUCUUUUGUACUUUUUGUACUAAAUUGUAUGAUAUUUUCAAUACAUGUAUCACUAUUUUAUUAUGUCUUGUUUACCAGUUUAGAGACCUAUGUGGCUUUUGUGUUUGAAUAGUAUGGUAUUUCUCAAAAGUCAAACGAGUCAAAUUGUACAAUUCUGAGAAAAAAAGAAGGUCUUCUAGGACCCCUUUUUUGUUUUUUUUUUCUUAACAAGACAUAAAGUGAUCUUUAUUUUUUAUUUUUUUUGAAAUCAUGUGAUUUUUAGUUUGAUAUUAUGAUUUACUUUGUCUAAUUAACUGAGUUUAUUUAGAGAAGACUUUUUUUUUCUUUUUUUGCUUUUAGAAAAUAGAAAAAUAGAUUUGGUCUAUUAUACAAAUAGGAAGGCCUUACAUUGAUGUUUCUUUUUUAAAUACUAAUUAAUAUGUUGGUACAUGAGAUCUACUAAUAUUUAAAAUCACAAAUUUAUUGGGACUAACUUAGAUUAAUUCUCUAUUACAGUUUAGAUUCUAUUCCAACAUAAGGAUAUAUUUAUAAUAUAUCAUCUCUAUUUCAUUGUCUGGGUACAUAAGUGAGAUUUUUUGUGAAAUUUCUUGCAGCAUCUUGAUGAGUUCUGGUGGUGGCAGCAUCUUGCUAUUGACAGAGCGGGGAGUGCUAAUAUAUCCGAUGGCUGGGUAAUACGUCAUCGUUUUGUUGCUUGGGCUCGAGGAAUGCCAGGUUUAGUACGGCUUUGGUGUAGAAUUGAUUUGGUACUGAUGGCAAAUUAUUGCAAUAUUUUUGAGAGAGAGGUGUGAAGGUUAAGAUUUUGCAGCGGAGAAGAAUUGAAAGUAUAAGAAGUAGAAAUGAUUUUGCCAUUCCCAUUGCUUUCUAAUUUCGGAUUAUCGUGUGAGCAAGAUGAUAUAUAGCCGGCUAAUGGACCUUGGAGAAUUUCUAAAAGAGUGGUGAUAUUGUACCAUUCAGAAAUUUUUUUGAUGAUAAAAUUAGUAAUCGCCCUAGUUCUUGCCUUUACAUAAUAAAACCUUUGCAUGAAACAUUUGAUAGAAUUAAUUGAAUUAAAAAAAAUAGACAAAAUACUGACAAAAACAACAGUACUGAAAUAAUAAUAAUUUACUUAAUUAACACGUUAAAUGGGCAGUAAUACGUCAGUUCUGUCUCUUUAUCAUUUUCUAUAAAUUGAAGAAUAUUAUAUUCAUUUUAGACUAACCGGAACUUCAUGUGUCUAGUUUAUGAGACCCAUGUGGCUUUUGUCUUUGUGAUAAUAACACUGUAGAAUUCUAAAAAGUUUGCAAUUUUUUAAUUUUUAAUUUUUAAUUUCAUGUAUUUAAUACUUGAUUUUUCAGUUUGAUUGUGAUUCACUUUCUUGAAUUGAGUUAAUUUAGAGAAUAGCUUAAUCUAUGAUAUUGCGGAGAUUUAGUAAAAUUUUCCGUUCAGAUUUAGCCAUUGUGUCACCUUCUUUCAAUAGAUACAAAUCACCCAAAAGUUCUUGAUUUUGGUAGUUUGCGCUUUGUAUUGCAACGUACGGUGUGUUCUAUAUGAGAAAAAAAAAAUAUUAAACAUUUCUGUUGUUUUCUUGCAGUGCCACCUGAUGCUUGAUCUUUUUAGUCAUCAAAUUGAUGUUUUAUCUGUUCAUUUAUAUCAACGAGUUAAGAGAAUUAACAGUUUUCUAGAUAUUUUGUACACAUAAAAUAAUGCCAUAAUUGAAUUUGCCCAUGGCCAUGCACAUACAAGUAAUCAAAGCAAAAGAAUCCACAUUCUAAUUUAAAAGAUCAAAUCUAAUGCCACGAAUAUAUAUAUAUAUAGUCAUAACUAAAAUUUCGUACUUCUGAUGUCUAAGUUACAGACAACAACAAUUGUUUUUGUGCCCAGCCACUUUUGUCGUAAUCAUUUUGUGGGAAAUAAAAAUUGGAUCAGAUACCCUAAAAUGCUUAUUUAAUAACCCUUCUUAUUUUACAGUAGAGUUGUAUCUGACUGCUGGCUCCUUAACUUGUCUUCCAAGAAAUCCAAUGCAAAUGACUGCAAGAACAAGUAAAAAGCUCAUAUCACGACAGAAUCUUGAAUCUUCAUCUAUUAUUAUUCAGCAUUAGGAAAGAUAUACAUAUAAUAAUAAUGAAGGGUGAAAAAUAUGCACACCUUUAUGUUGCUUAGGGUCAAUUCACCAUUCAAUACAUACUUCUCGCCAUUGAAAAAGCCAUUGACAGCAAUUACCUGCAUUGAAAUUUGCAUAGCAACCCAAUUUUUCGUAUUUAAUUACGGAGGAAAUUAAAAAAAAAAGCAUUCAUAAAGAUUUAACAGAAUCUGAAGAUAAAGCAAGGAACUCACUCUUGAAGCGUGACCUGUGAUGCCAAAAUAACCAAAAAUUUGUCUCCUAUCAGUUUGCAACAAGUCCAUUUGAAAAUACACAGAGAAGCUGGCAAACAAUUAAUUUCAUCAAUUAUUAUUUAAGCUGGCAAACAAUUAAUUUCAUCAAUUAUUAUUUAAGAUCAUAAUGAUAAUUAUUUUGAAAGGCUAUUAAUUUCAGUGGGUUUCUGUUAACCAAGUUUCGACAAAAUUUUGCUUGAUCUCCCUACAUCUCUAUAUUUACCUUUCCUUUAAAAGCUUUGGCUGCCUCUUGAAAUAUUGAUUUAGUCUCAGAAUCAUGAACAGUCACAAAAAGCCAUAACUGAGAACAAAUUGUUGAACUCGUUAAGACCUGAAAAUUUUUUAAUUUUUCCAAGGUAAAGAUGAUGUAAACUAAUAAUUACCUCUUGCAAGUGGGAAUCUAAAAUCAAUGCAGCAGUUUCCCUGGUGUAAGUAAUCAUCGGAGGAAUCUUAUUCAAUGAUAUGAAGUCAUAAAUUCUUGCAUCAGUAAAUGGACCAUCUGAGAAAAUGGAGCAAAAAAUGCACAAGGGUUGUGUAAAUUUUCGAUUUUGAAGCACUCAAAAUCAUUUGUAGAGAGAGAACUUCUAAUACUAACCAAAGUGGCUAAGUUGUUUAGAUUCCUUUUCCAGCAAGACUAGAGCAGGGCGUUUGAUUUCUGGGUCAAUCAGAAACAUCUUUGCAACAUCAGCUCUAGUAGUUUGAAAGAAUAUAACAUCAGGAUGCAGCUUUGAUACGGCCGCAAGCUUUUCACUUUCCGUGCCCUAACAAACAUAAUUGAAUCUUUUGUAACAUUUAUGAUUCAAUAAGAGAUGUUAAAAUAGAAACAGUCUAAUCUAUGUUCUGCUCUUAAUUCUUUUUUAUUUGGAGCUGGCACUCGCUCGAAGAGUGUUUUGUUGAGUUGAUUUGCUUGUGUUGUAGGACAAGCGUAUCAUUGGUGCUUUCAUUGACUUUUCCAUGGCUGAUUCAGAGGUGUUGGCAUCAGUGAAGGCACUCCAAACGCAAUUUGAAGGCCAAACAAUUGCGAUUCAUCAAAACUUGUAGCAGUACAUGUCCACAAUGGAUUCUCAUCUUAAGGAUCUACGUUCUCAUAUCCAAGGGUCUUCGAGUGUUUUGGUUGCAUCAUCAGGUUCUGCACAUCGCUCUUCUCUAGUUGCGGAGGGGUAUUCAGGACACACCGAUCUCUCGCUGGUAUUACAAUCAAUGAUAAUAAAGGUUCCCAAGUUUGAUGGCUCUGACCCGAAUGGGUGGGUGUUUCGUAUUGAAGAGUUUUUCGAUUUCCAUGAAACUCCAGAGCACUUGCGCCUUUGCAUCAUCGCGUUUCACAUGGAGGGGAGAGCGGCAGCCUGGUACCAAUGGGUGAAGGCGAACAAACUAAUAACAACAUGGAAAGAUUUUCUAAUUAGUUUGAAGCAUCAGUUUGGCGCUUCAAUGUAUGACGAUCCUCAAGGUACACUUUCCAAACUUACACAAACCACCACAGUCGCAAAGUUUCAGUCAGCCUUUAAAGAUUUGAUGAAUAAGGUCACUGGAAUUUCUGAACCCUUGUUGAUCAGUUUUUUUAUCAUUGUUUGAGAACGGAUAUUCGCAAGGAGUUGAUGUUUUCCCACCCCACAUCUCUGAUAGAUGUCUUUACUCUCGCAAAAGCUAAUGAAGCUCGUUUAGAGGAGGCUAAAAUGAGUGGCCGCCCUUGGACUAAAUGGCCCCCACCAUCGGCCCCAACUAUGACCAUUUCGUCCAUCAGCAAAAUUCCUCCACCCUCACAUGUGCCUGUUCCCACCCCCACCACAAAUAGUUCCCCUGUAGUUCCCACAACACACCAACCUCCUAAACAAACAAACCUUCUAGCCCUUUUACCUACACCAAAUUUACCAGUUCGCCGCCUCACUCCAGCUGAAUUACGAGACAAACGAGAAAAAGGAUUGUGUUAUAACUGUGAUCAAAAGUACAGCGCAAACCAUCACUAUCGUAGUAAGUUUUUUAUUCUUAUGGGGACUGACGAUGAUGAAAAUGAGGAUACUAUGAAGUUGGCCAUGGCGGAGCCAUUCAAGGAAAUGGUAACGACAGAUAUUUCAAGCUUGAACGCCCUCGCGGGGCAGGUGAAUCCCCAUUCACUUCGACUGAUUGGCAAGGUUGGUAACCACUGCUUUCAAGUGCUUAUUAAUAGUGGGAGUACCCACAAUUUUAUUAAACAUGUGUUGGCUGAACGAUUGGGACUUCCUAUUCAACCCACGACUCAUUUUCGAGUUUAUAUUGGCAAUGGUGACUUCUUGGUAUGCCAACUAUAUUGUCCGCAAGUGGCUCUGACUAUGCAAGAUUAUGCAUUUACUUUGGACUUAUUUGUUUUACCAAUUGAGGGGUCGGAUGUGAUUUUGGGUAUUCAGUGGCUUCAACGCUUAGAGAGGGUGUCCCAUGACUAUGCCGCCAUGACGAUGAACUUCUAUUGGGAUGGGAAAUUGGUCAGCCUUUGUGGGGACGUCACCAAUUCACCGAGUUUAAUUACUUUUAACCAAUUUCAAGCCCUUAUGCAUAGCACAACUGUUCCGAACUUAUUUGAGCUACAAUACAUACAUUCGCAGCAAGAUGGAGGCUCCGAAGACUUAGAACUUCCAGUUUCACUGCCCACUCUGAUUUCUCACCUCCUUUACAAAUUUCACAACUUAUUCCGCCCCCCAACAGGCCUUCCCCUACACUGUUUCAUUAACUAUAGAAUUCACCUACUACCAAACACAAAACCAGUGAAUGUUCGGCCUUAUCGCUAUCUUCACUUCUAAAAAACAGAGAUGGAGAAGUUAAUUCGCGAAAUGUUGGAGCAAGGUGUAAUAAAACCAAGCCACAACCCUUUUUCUUCCCCGGUGUUACUAGUGAAAAAAAAAAAGGAUGGCACCUAUCGCUUUUGUGUGGACUAUCGUGCCUUAAAUGCGGUUACUAUCAAGGAUAAAUUUUCUAUUCCAACAAUUUAUGAACUACUGGAUGAAUUGGGUGGAGCAACCAUUUUCAGCAAAUUAGACUUGAGGGCUGGUUAUCACCAGAUUCGAGUGCACAACAGAGACACAUACUAGAUAGCUUUUCGAACUCAUGAAGGGCACUACGAGUUUCUUGUGAUGCCUUUCAGCUUGACGAAUGCUCCAUCUACAUUUCAAGCUACUAGAAAUUAAAUUUUUGCUGCCUUCUUACGUAAAUUUGUCAUUGUUUUUUUUUAUUUAUUGGUGUAUAGUUCAUCUUUGGCUGAUCAUGUCUCUCACUUGGAGCAAGUUUUAAGUUGCUUACAUAGUCAUUGUUUCUUCAUCAAACUUUCCAAAUGCCUUUUCUGCCAAGAAACAAUUGAGUAUUUGGGUCAUUUGGUUUCUACUGGAGCUAUUCGUGCAGAUCUACAGAAAAUUACAGCCAUGGUCAACUGGCCACCACCAACGUCCUUGAAACAAUUGUGAGGGUUUCUUGGCCUCACGGCCUAUUACAAGUGUUUUAUUAAAUGAUAUGCUUCUAUUGCUACACCCCUCACUGACUUAUUGUGCAGAGAUGUUUUCAAUUGGACUCCAACAGCAACCAUCACAUUUGAGGCCCUCAAACAAGGUAUGGUGGAAGUCCCAGUAUUGCGAUUACCAAACUUCGAGUUGGAUUUCAUCAUCGAGACCGAUGCAUCAAAUGUCGGUAUUGGUGUAGCGCUUAUGCAAGACAACCACCCAAUCUCCUACUUUAGUAAAAAGUUGGGACCAAAACUUCAAGUGGCAUCAACAUAUAUCAAGGAGUUACAUGCCAUUGCCGAGGUUAUCCACUAGUGGCGACAAUAUCUUCUUGGUCGUUUUUUCAUUAUUCGCACCGAUCACAAAAGUAUCAAGGAACUUCUGCAACAAGUUAUCCAAACACCUAACCAGCAGGUGUAUAUCCGAAAAUUGAUUGGUUAUCACUUUAAGAUUGAAUACAAGCCCAGUCGAGCAAACCAAGUAGUUGAUGUUUUGUCUCGCGUGCAUGAAGAUGAGCCUGUGGAGGCACCCGAGAGAUACUUUGCCUAUUUACUAUUGGUUUCCAGUCCAACUUUUGACUUGUUAGAAACUCUACGCUUGGAGAAUACCACUUGUCCAGACUUGGUACUCCUUCAUAAGCGCUUUGCCACAGGUGAGCUCUCCCCUGAUUUUUCUGUUUAUGAUGGAUUACUUUUCUUCCGCCACCGCUAUUAUGUUAGCUCUUAAUCCUCCUUGAAGUCAAUCUUGCUCCACAAAUUUCAUGCUACCCCAUGGGCUAGACAUGCUGGUAUAAAAUGAACCUUAGUUCGCUUAGCUUCGACAUUUUAUUGGCAUAAGAUGAGAACUGAUGUUGAAAAAUUUAUAGCUGCUUGCCUAACCUGCCAACAAAUCAAGCAAUCAACUCAAGCCCUAGCAGGGUUGUUAUAACCACUACCUAUUCAAUCGUUAGUAUGGGAUAAGGUCACUAUAGAUUUCAUUACGGACUUGCCACUAUCACGAGGGCUCACUACUAUCCUUGUCGUUGUGGACCGUCUAACUAAAUCAACACAUUUUGGAGCUCUACCUUCUCAAUUUUCAGUUAUGACAGCAACAGACUUAUUUGCUAACAUGGUCGUUAAACUCUAUAGUUUUCCUAGUUCCAUUGUGUCGGAUCGCGAUCCAAUUUUUAUGAGCAAUUUUUGGAAGAAGCUUUUUGAACUAAGUGGCAUUUCCCUAAGGCAUAGCAUAGCCUAUCAUUCGUAGACUGAUGGGCAAUCCGAAGUUGUGAACCGCAGGCUUGAACAAUAUUUACUAGCUUUCACUCAAGAAAAACCACAAUCGUUGGUCUCUCUACUCUACUGGGCAGAGUUCAGUUACAACUCCAGCUAUCAUAGUGGUCUCAAGAUGACACCAUUCCAGGCAUUGUAUGGGCAUAAUCCACCUACUAUCCUAGCUUACUCUAAGGGCUCUACUUCAAUCCAAGCUCUCAAUGAUGCGCUGACGGAGCGAGAUGCUCUCUUGCGCUUCUUGAAGGAGAAUUUGUGCCAAGCUCAGCAUCGAAUGACACAAAAGGCUAAUGCCCAUCGGCGUGAACUCCAACUCAAUAAAGGAGAUCACGUGCUUGUCCGCCUUCAACCAUACCGAAAGACAUCUUUAGCUCAACGAGCAUCCCUGAAGUUAGCGAAGAGGUAUUACGGACCAUUUACAGUAUUGGAACAUGUGAGGCCAAUGGCAUACAAGCUGAACCUUCCGUUAGAUUGCAAAAUUCAUUAUGUCUUCCAUAUUUCAAUGCUCAAACCCUUCAGCGUUCCAGCCCUAUCAAUAGGUUACCCUUACCUCGUGAUAGCAUCAACAAUCGACCACUCUUAUACCCAGCUACUAUUUGUGCCCCACGGAUAGUCUUGCGUCAUGGGAAAGAAGUUCAACAUGUUCUGGUGCAGUGGUCAGAUAGCGCUCCAGAAAAUGCCACCUAGGAAGAUUUCUUUGAGUUUUCGCGCCUCUAUCCUGAUUUCACCUUGAGGACAAUGUGAUUUUUCAAGCGCCAGGGAAUGAUACAACAUUGCCAAUCUCUUUGGAGUGGCCCAAUGCAUCUCUUGCGGAAUCCUUUAAAGAACGGGCUGAAUCACACCAGGAGGAAGAUACAACUAGGCCCAACACAGAACCUGUUGCAGGCCCAUCGCGAAUGAGAAAACCACCUAGCUGGCUAAAGGAUUAUGUUGUUUGAGAAUCAGGAAGUUGUGGAUUCCUUUCUAAAAUCUUUUAUUCGUUUGAUAUUUUCUUUUGGCUUGACAAUUGCUAUUUUUUGUAACCACCUUCUGUUAGAGGUUGCUGGAGGUGAAGCAUAUAAGCAUUGUAAGGUUUAAAAAGCAAAGGAAUGAAAAUACUCAGUUCUCUUUCUUCUUUGGAAUUUCCUUUCUUCUUAACCUCUGUUCUGCUCUUAAUUCUUUUUUAUUUGGAGCUGGCACUCGCUCGAACAGUGUUUUGUUGAGUUGAUUUGCUUGUGUUGCAGGACAAGCAUAUCAGUACCGUUUGUGCCACGUUCUCUUAAUAGAAAAAUAUAACCCAAAAGUUCUUGAUUUUGGUAGUUUGUUCUUUGUAUUAGAACGUACGACGUGUUUCAUGAGAAAAAAUAAUAAAAAUUUGCUCUUACUUUUCUUGCAAUCUAACAAGGUGCUUGAUCAUUUUGGUUAUCAAUUGAUAUUUAUCUAUUGAAUGCGGUUAUCAAUGAGUUAAAUGAAUAUAAUUAAAGGUCCGAUAGAUAUUUUUAUAUAUAGAACAUAUGCCAUUAUUUAAUGUGACCUCUGCCGUUAAACAUAUGAAGGCACGAAUAGUGAUUAACUAGAAUAUCUAAGUUAAACAGCACUUCUUAUUGCAUCCAAUCAUUUUGUGGGAAAGGGAAAUUGAAUCAUAUACACUAAAUUGCUUCUUUAGUCAUCAUAUCUGGUACUGGAAGUCUAGCUAAUGACUUUUGCUGAAGUUGUAUUUGAGAAAGAGCUGUUUUUGAUUGUUGGUUCCUCAACUUGUCUCCCAAGAAAUCCAAUGCAAAUGACUGCAGGAUCUCAGAUCAUGACAGAAUUGUGAAUCUUAAGCCAUUUUUCUGCAUUAGGAAAAAAAAUAUAAUAACAAUUAUGGUGAAAAGAAUGCAAACCUUUACAUUGCUCAGGGUCAGUUCACCAUUCAAUAUAUACUUCUUGCGUUUGCGAAUGCUAGCGACAGCAAUUACCUGCAAGUAAAUUUGUACAGUAACCCAUUUUUUCAUAUUGAUGUAUAAGACAAAAGCUACACCGCAAUCAUAAAGAUUUCACAAAAUCAAGGUAAAGCAAGAAACUCACUCUUGAAGUAUGACCUGUGACACCGAAAUAGUCAGAAAUUUGUCCCUUAAGUUUCGGGUACAUUUGCGAAUACACAAAGAGAAGCUGGCAAACAGUGAUCAAGAUAAUAUAAAAUCAUAAUGAUAAAAUUAUGUUGACAGACAAUUAAUUUAAAUGGCUUUCAGUUAUCAAGUUUCAACAAGUUUUUCUUGAGCUCGCUACAGAGAUUAAUCUACCAAAUACAAGUCUCUGCAUUUACCUUGCCUUUGAAAGCUCUAGCUGUCUCUUGAAAUAUUGAUUUAGCCGCAGAAUCAUGCACAGCCUCAAAAAGCCAUAACUGAGAACAAAUUCAGGAACAUGUUCAAACCAUAAAUCUUUCACAUUUUCCCGAGGAAAAGAUGUAAAAUGAUAAUUACCAAUUUCAAGGGGGAAUUUAAAAUCAAUGGAGUAGUUUCCCUGGAGUAAGUAAUCAUCGGAGGAAUCUUAUUCGAUGAUAUGAAAUCAUCAAUUACUGAUAUAGUAAAAGAACCAUCUGAGAAAAUGAAGCAAAAAACAGACAGGGCAUGUAUAAAUCUUCCAUUUGAAGCACUCAAAAUCAUUGGAGAGAUUAUUUGUUUUACGAACCAAAGUGGCUAAGCCGUUUAGACCCUUUUCCAGAAAGACUAGAGCAGGGCGUUUGAUUUCUGGGUCAAUCAGAAACAUCUUUGCAACAUCAGCUCUAGUAGUUUGGAAGAAUAAAACAUCAGGAUGCAGUUUUGAUGCAGCCGCAAGCACUUCACCUUUCAGGCCCUAAAAUGUUUUGUCAUAGCAGUAACAGAUGUUAAGGGAAACACUAAGGCAAUUGCUCAAAUCAUACGAGUGAGUAUGGACCUUUAAAGAGUUAAGGAAUCCCAAAGCAAUUGUAGAUUGAGCUGUCAAAUAAGUGCUCUGCAUUCUUUGUUGUCAUCACAGUGUAAAGAUCCGGCCAUCUUCGUCUUUAUAUAAUUCACAAUAGCAUCCCUUAAAAAUAAAAACGAUCUCGUUAUUAACAAAUGCACGAGCAUAUAAUAGACUUGCCCCUUUUCACUUUUCCCACUUCUCAACAACUAUAACAGAUUUAAAAGGGCCAUAUUGAACAAAAAGAUCCAACAAAAGAAAACACUUGUUCCAAAAAAACUCGCUUCUUCCUGUCAUGGUAGUAAAUAUCCACAUGUACUCCAUUAACAAAGAAAUAAAUGGUUGGAUAUCCUUGAAUUCCCCAUCUUUUUGCCAACUCGAUCUCGUUGAUAGCAUUAACUUUUGCUAGCACUGCUUUGCCCUUCAGCUCAGUGGCAGCGGCUUCAUAUUCUGGAGCCAGUUUCUUGCUCCAGAAGCACCAUGGUGCAUAAAAAGCCACCAUCACAUGCUGAUUCUUGGCUAGAACAUCACUAAAAUUCUUGUCACUUAAAUUCACUGCAUCUUCUUUUUCAUCAAUAGUCGGAGUUAAGUUGUACUUUCGAUCUUUGAAACUUUCAUAAGAAUCUAAUGGUGCAACGGUGUCUCUGGAAGAGAUUGGAGGAAAUUUCUUGAAUACAGAAACACACAAUACAUAGCCUCCAUCAUAAUCUAUUUUGUAAACACAGAAAGGCGAAAGCCGAAACACAAUGAACAAAAGAAAAAUCGUAGUGGAGAGCGCAAGGAGAUGAGCUUUAGUUGACAUUGUUGAGCAGCCGGCGUUGAGUAGGUGCUCUGCAAUUUGUACUUGACGCUUCAAAUAGUUGUUUUAUAGCAAUGAUCCUGUCAGCAAUGCAAAUUUAACCACGAAUUGCUGGCCAGUGACAAGAUAAUUAUAAUUAAAUGCCUCCUUUUUGGUAUGUAGUUUCACACAGUAGACAACAAGCUAAUAAAUAAUAAAAUUUAUUUUGAUUUCUAUUCAGAAAUUACACUAUUAACAUCCCGUGACAGAAAGAAACCCUCUAUCCACCACUAGCUUUAUAAAGCACAAUCGACAAAGACAAGAUCCAAAUCUCUAGCAGAUGAAACCAAUGUUCCUACGAACAUCACUAUGCAACAGGAUUACACUGAAUCUUGAAAGCAACAAAUGAAUGAGAAUAUUCUUUUGCAGCCAUAUANNNNNNNNNNNNNNNNNNNNNNNNNNNNNNNNNNNNNNNNNNNNNNNNNNNNNNNNNNNNNNNNNNNNNNNNNNNNNNNNNNNNNNNNNNNNNNNNNNNNAUUUGUUGAUAAACUUAAUGAAUUUCUCCAAUUAGUUCUUAUGGGAUCAGCUUCAGUAUCUCUGAGACCUUCAGAGUUGCACAAAUUUACCGCCAAUUAGAACAACAAUGUUGAAGACAUAUGUAUUACAAAUAUCACAUAUACAAGCAUAUAAUGUGACAUGAUAGAGUUGUAGUUGCAUCACAAACCAAGAUAUAAUAUGAAAGAAUUUUGAGAAAAUAUAUCAUUGCUCACCUCGAAAUGCUGUUGCAAUACAGGUGAAUGUUGAUGCAGUGUUGUAUAUAUCUUCUCAAGUAAGCCUAUGAGUGCAUCCACUUGAUCGCCCAGCAGAUCCACCUGGAAUCCAAGCCGCGUAAUGAAUCUUAAGAAAAUUUGCUUGAAACACACUUCAAAUGUACAUUCAUCAAAUCCAAGUUAAAUUCAGUUUGUUUAUCCUAAAAAAAAAAAGAAAGAAAGAAACUAAGGUGAAUAAAACUGAAAUUGCAGCUCAAAACCUCAGUUUCAGCCUUUUGGAGAUUCUUGCUUCUUCUGAUAAAUGCUGUUCUGUAGAGUAAUUCCCGCUUUUGUACUGAGGAAACAAGCUCAACAAGCAAAUCUAAUUGAUGCUUCAUCUCUUCCAACCUGUACAAAAGUAGCGCAGUAAAGGUCAAUCACUUGUUCAAACAACUAAUAUUUGAUGGAACAUAAAUAUCGUAACACAAAUAGCCAUAGUCAAUGUUCACAGUAAGAUUAAAUUAAAGCAUUUGAGGGGAAAUAUAAAUGUAAACUGAAGUACCUCAAAACUGUCUGCUAAUUUUUCUUGUGCUUGGAGCUCAAAAUUUCCAAAUACUUGUGAAAACUCCAGUAUAGGUGUAAACAUGGAAUCCAAUUGGUUUCUAGAAAUCUCUUCAUUUUUUUGUUGGAAAGUUAUGGAAUUUUUGUCAUGCACAUUAUCUGCAGGAAUCAUUUGAUUAUCAACUCUUUCUUCAUCAUAGUCGGCUGUGCCUAAACUAGAUUCCAACUCACUCAUUAUUGUCUUACUUGUAGCUAACCGAUCUAGGCUUUCUCAAGUUUGCUUCUCACCGAAGUAAAAGUGGACUCAUCCUCAUCCAUCAGUUCUUGAAAGAUCUCAUGCUCGUUCAGCUGUUCAGUUUCCAUUUCCACCCAGUCAAGUUGUUUCUUGUGUUCAUUUACUUCAGAACUUGCACUUACCAUUAGAUCUCCAUCUUCUUCCAAACACUUCAAUAACAUAUCUAGUUUUUCGAUAAAACUAUCCUCUCCAUUUCCCUCAAAACUUCCGUCUAUAUUGUUGGGGGAACUUUUGUCUUGCUUCCGGGCUUCUCCUUCCGUGAAACAUAGGCAAGCAUCUUUCAUCGUCUCACGAAAAACAAAUUCCUGUAUCUCAUGUCUAAAGAGAUACUCAAUGUUGCAAGCAUCUAUCUCUUUCUUCCACUCAUCAAUAGUUUCCCCGAAUAAAACCAUCUACACAUUCUCCUUCACAAAAUAUUCCGCUAUUUUAAGUGACUUGUCAGGAACCUCAACCUCUUAGAGUUUUGUAAAUGUGUAGUUCGCAGUAUUCACAACAUCUCUGAAGGUCUCAUCAAAGACAGACGAGAAACCUCUUCUGUUAUAAGCCUGCCAAUUCUAUAGUUUCCAAUUUUCUAAUUCCAAUCCUUGCAAAUUUCCUGGUACAAGACUGAGCAUAUAUCCUCACUUAAAGAGCAUUCAUCUCGAAAAUGUUCCAAUUUCCUAUCCAGUGCAGAGCAAAACCCCUUAACUGCCUCACUGCAUACAGUAUAAUAUAUUUCCUCUCUCAUCUGAGCCUCAAACUUGUUACUUUCAACUUCCUCUUUCAACAUCCUUAUUUCAAUUUGUAGUUCUUCAUUGGCUGCAUCAGCGACUGACGCGUUAUUCAUUUUCUUCCAGACGCCAUCCAAAUUGUCAAUGUCCGAGUUCAUUUCUUUUCUCACAUCAGAUUUCAAUAGGUUUUUUGCUGCUGAGGAUUCGUCCCAUUGAUCACCUCCAUAUUCUCCAAAAGUCUCAACCAACCUGGCAUUGCAGUUCAUUAAAUUAUCCAAUCUUACAAUAACUUCUUGGAUUCUUCUUUUUAGGCUAACCGGAUCCUUCUCUCUUCUUAAGUUUGAACACCCUUUUUCUGGAAGCAUUUCUCGCUUCAACCAUUUAACCUCUUCACUUUUUCUCCGAAUAAUAAACUCGUGACUCUUUAUGAUCUUAGCAACAGAUUGACCAACACCCUCUUCUGAUUCUACUUCUUCAACCUUUGAGGAAAAAUUCGCACAACUGUCUCCUUCUGAUAAAGAUCUUCGCAGCCUCGGAGGAAUAUUCCUCUCAAUAUUAGUUUUGGUUGAAGAUUUUAAAUUCUCAUUCCCUUUUGCAGCUUUCAGUUGAGCCUCGUUCUGAUUGAUAAAGCUCUCAAGCUCAUUACGCAAGCACGUAACCUCCGUCAUCAAAUCUGACAAAUGCUCACUCAAGCUCAUGAAAACUUGCUUCUCUUGCUUCCUCAUUUCCAUCUCAAAGUUCUCCUUAAAAUCGUUAACAAAACCAUUAAUCAAUGUACAAAUUGCAUCCUUCUCAAUAGUCCACCUCCAUUGCUGCUCCUGGGGCCCCAGCUCAGACAAAAAAAUCGCAUUCUGCAUUUUCCCAAAAGCCUGAUGCAAAGUCUCUUUCAAAAUAUUAAUAUCAGAACCCAUCUGCUCAAUCUUUUUGUGAUCAAUACCGCCAUUCUUUUCCUCAUCAAUAACUUCAUGCUCGAUUUGCAAGACUUGUUGAUCAACUGAAUGCAUCAACUCAGAAAUUUCACUAUCUCUAUCCUCAUCCCGACUUCCAGGACUGCUCAUACUGAGCUCAGCGACACCAUCGCUCUUUGUUCUUUCAAGCUCCACUUUAGCAUUUUGCAAGGCAACCAAUUCUUUUUCCUUCGCAUCCAAUGCUUGCCUAAGCUUCAACUCAUUUUCGAACCUCUCCGUCAAUUCCUUAUCCUUUUCGCGGAGAGCCAUUUCUGAAUCCUGAAGGCGACACUGGAGACGGUCUUUAAUUUCUUCCGAGUCUGCCAGGACUUUUUCAUGGCAGCUUUCAAACAUGUUGUUGUCUGCAUCCUCCUGGACAAAUUUCAUGCACCCUUCUAGCUGAAUUACUGCAAGUUCAUAGAAUUUCGAUAUCUCAUUAAAGCGCUGAAUGACGCCAUCUUUGGACUUUACUUUGCCGUGUGCUCUGUCCAUUGCGUAGUGCACAAUCCACGUCAUUGUUGCAUCUGUUAAAGAAAUUCUUAGUGUGCCUUCUAGCAAUCCAAAAAGACCAUCCAUUUUUUUUUUCUUUUUGUUUGGUUCAUCUAUUGAAAAUGAAGGCUAUGAAGCAAUAGAAAUGUGAAUGAGAUCUCCUGUUUUUAUGUUUCCUUGAAAAUUGGAGAUCUAAUUGACUUGUUCUAACUUGUUACUUGUUACACAUACGUUGAAGAUGUGACCAGAGUUAUUCCUAUAUUUCAUUUAAAUACUAAUGCAUAUUAGCGUAUAUGCAAAGAUAACAAGGAAUUGACAAUUUUAGGGAACUCACGUUAAUUUUUUACCUUUUUUUAAUAGAAUUUUUUAACAUUCAAUCAAUAGGAUUUGUUGUAAAUUUGAAGGUUAUGAGACCUUUAUUACUUGAAAUGACUGGUUUGUCCUUCGUUUCCUUCGAGAGCCCAAAAAGUUCUAAACGUUCAACGCUCAAGCCAAUAUAUUUUUUUUUUUUUGUCUUAACCACGAGGUAUCCCGGGGAGGGCCCCAACUGUGGGAGGCACCUUUAAAUCCGUACCAUAACCCAGACUAGAAGUUCCCACUUGAACCGAGAGACACAAGUUCUCCCAACAAAGGCGACUUUCCUGCGACUUGAACUGGAGAGCAAACUCAGUUAAACCACCUAAGGGUGACUCCAUUGCCAGUGGAGCCAACACUUUGUUGGUAACGCUCAAGCCAAUAUAGACGGUUAAGAUGUCCUCCUCAAUUAAUUUGAGAGGAAAAUUACAGAUAAUAUGUAUGGUUUGAUGAAGGAGCAAAGGAAUAUUAAAAAGGUGUAAUUAACAUUGCCAACGAACAUGCCCAACAUUAAUUUAUGAGCGCUGCUAUUCACCCAGAUUUUAACCUCGAAACGCGCCCCGAAUUUUAAAACGCACCGUUUUGAUAAAAUUGAAAAUGGUGCGUUUAACCCAUGUUUCUUCCUUUCCUUUCUUUUGCCAAACCACAGAAACGGACCUUUGCUUCCUUUUCGUUUAAUCCUAUCAUCUUGUGGUCACUGCCGCUGCUGCUUCCUUCAAGACCGAGCUCUCUCCCGCUGCUUCUUUCUUCAAGACCGAGCUCUCUAAGCCCCUCACUGCCGAUUUUAACCUUUGCUUCCUUUUGGCUUCACGAUCUAGAAGCCAUCGCCGCUUCCUUCAAGGUCGCUGCCGCUGCUGCUUCCUUCAAGACCGAGCUCUCUGCCGCUGCUGCUUCCUUCAAGAGGGAGCUCUCUGCUGCUCUUGCUUUCUUCAAGACCGAGCUCUCUAAGCCCCUCACUACCGAUUUUGACCUUUGCUUCCUUUUGGUUUCACGAUCCUGAAGCCAUCGCCGCUUCCUUCAAGGCAGUUUGCUCUCUCUAAAUAAUUUCAAUAAGUUUAAAUUUAUUUUUAAACAUUUAAAUAAUUUCAUAUAAAUUUAUUUUUAAUUAAUACAAAUUAAUUUCAUGUAUCGUUAAAUGUUCCUUCAAGACUCCAUUGUGUUUGCUGCUGAUUGUGUUUGUGUGUUACUGGUGCUGGAAUUAUCUUGCGGCUGAUUGUGUUUUUGUGUUACUGGUGCUUGAAUUGUUGCUGGUGGAAGUGUAACUGGUGCUGGAAUUGUCUCAGCUGCAUGAUUUUGCUGGGGACAAAUCCGGUUGAUGACAUUCUCUUUUGUUGCGGCUGCAUGUUGUAGAUAUAUUUCCCGCUAAAGGGGCAUGUGCCACCAGAAAGAUUGGUGAAGCAUUUGAAUGUUUUCUUGUAUUUUAGUUUAGUGUAUGAUGACUCUGUAUCGUGCAAUGAUCAUGAUUCUUUCUAUCACUAAAGAAGAUAAAGAAUCAUGAUCAUAAAAUCUAAGUAUUACGAAUGCAAUCUUCAUCGCAAUUGAACAUUGUAGAACUAUUUUCUAAAGUUGAAUGAAAUCAACAUAUUCACGCAUACAGCCCAGCAAAAGAAAAUUUCGCUCAAUGAAAACCGACACCAAUGCUUUGGCUGAAGAAACAACGUCCAAGUUCAUUCAAAUAAUCCUAAAUCCGUAAUUAUUUAAUCUACCCCCAGCGCAAGUUAAAGCAACAAAACUUCACAUCCACUCUCAUUUAACACUCAAUACCCUGUCUCAGCAUUUUGUCAAUCACCUUCCAUCCACCAUGGUUCAGCAAGCUUGCAAACAGAAUGCCAUCAAAUGCGGCUGUGUUCUGCCGAUGAAGGAUGCUGACAGAAUAAUGUGGGGGAGUGCUGCACUCAUUGAGGAAAGAAGCUAUAAGAGAAUUGGCAGCAUCUCAUAUAUCAUUUAAUUCUUUGCAUGUCUAAGAAUGCCACUUGAUAGCAAAGUGAUAAAUAUUUACUUGAGCAAGCAAGUAAAAGCAGCACUGAGCUCAUAAUAAAUAAAUAAAUUAAUUAAUUAGAGGUUCGAUCAGGGCAGCAAGCAAAAAGUUUGGAAAUUCAGAGCAGAAAGCUGUGGUUCACGCGCAAAUAGAAAGACAAACAGAAUGCUCACGUGCUGCACAGCUGGAAUAGUAUUGAAGCAAAGCAAAACGCACCGGUUUUGCCAAAAUUCGGGGCCCGAAUUCAGGGCUGAUGUCGGGGUAAGUAGCUUUUCCCUUGGUUGUUUCCUACAGCAGCCACUACAGAUCUCAUUAAGCGCCAGAAUCUAACUCAGCGGCAGGGCGCGAACCAUCACUGCCCUUGGUAGCGCGUGAGGCUCUUUCUCUUAGCCACUCCACCACCUCUCCAGAAACCAACUCAACGUUCUGCUCAGGCUCGGCAAUCAGCUGAUGCCACGUGCCUGGAUAAAUCCUCAGCGUCUUAUCCUUACUGGCUGCAUGUUUAUACAACUCUUCAACGCAGGCGGGAUCGCAAACGACGUCGUCUUCCUCUUGGGGCUCAUUGAGUAUUUUUUAUACUCAAAUCCCUUGCAAAUCCCUCGACACGCGCAGCAACUCCAGCACGGUCGCCGCACGCGGCCUUGGCACCGACCUCCUGGGGCUCGACAACACCAGCUUCCUCUUCCACUCCUCCUUGAAGGAGACCAUCGGGAGAGAACCGUGGGUGGGACCUACGCGCCAGGAAGGCACCAGCCAUACGACUGCGAAGAGAAGGUGCUCGAAGGGCCACGGAGGCUUGAAUUUCUGGCUAAUCCCACACAUGGCCCCAUUCAAAAUCAAACCAUCCCACGCGCCCGUCUGACGGAGCGUGGAGUAAAGAGCUAUGGCCCCACCUAAGGACUCGGAAUACAAAAACGCGGGCAAAUCGGGUGCGUGUCUCGGAAUGACAUAUUACAUGUUAUAUUAAUUAUUUGGGAUGAAAUUUAAAAUAAAUAAAUUUAGUAUGCUUGCUUUUGCAUAAUUUUUUUUUUGUAGGGUUAUUUUGGAUCUAAUAAUUUAAUUUAUAAAUAUAUUUUUGUUUUAUCAAUAAUAACAUUUAAUUUGCAACUGCUAGGGAUCUCUACUCCCUAGUGUUGGCUCGAGGAGAUCUUGGCAACAACCAUUGCAACAAAUAUAUGACAAGUUUUAUCGCGACAAUUACUUGCUAAUUGAUUUCUUUGCACUUGAUGUACAACACAUAUCAUAUUAUAUCAAUUUUAAAGCUAUAUGCUGAGAAUUCUAACAUAAUCAAAUGCAUAUAGGAGCAAUUAAUUGAUAAUCAACACACCAACACUACUAGAAAAAUAGGCUACCAUGACAGAAUUUUUGUGAUAGAUAUUAGAAAAUUAGUCAUUUAUCAUAAGAAUAUGAUAGACAUAUGAUAGAAUUUUCGUACAUCAUAAAUUCAUGACAGAUUUCUGAUAGAUUUUUUAUAUAUCAGAUAAACAUGAUAGCGUAUUAAUAUUUAAUCAAACCAUGGGUUUCGAGUGGAAUUAAUUUGGACAUAAAACGACACCGUUUUACAGAUUUAAAACAUUUUUAAAAUAAAAAUAUUUAUUUAACAUUUAAACGCUAUCGUUUCAGUAUAUUGUAAACCACAAACACAAAAAAAAUUCUAAGUGUUGGCACCUUUGACCCAUCACUCCAUCAGCAAGGGCUGAGAAACCAAAGCAGUGAAACCCCUCAAAAUCCGUUUAUUAACAUAUUUUAAUCUGCAAAUUGGUUUUGAAAUCCGUUGCAUGGAAACCGAAAUCAUAGUUUAUGCUAUUGAAGGAGCCUUCCCGUCCUUAUUUUGAACCCCCAUUAUCUUUAACCCCCAUUAUUUCGAACCCAUUGUUUUUAGGAACAAAAUCACCACAUAUGCUCAUUGUUGCGCCUUCGCGUCCAUUAUUGAAGCUGUCGGUGUCACUAUUUCUUUGUAUUGUUCAAUCGGCGUUGGAGAAGCCAUCCUGUAAUCGCUGAAUCCCUAGGUUUGUCAUCAAUUAACUUUUUUAAAUUUUAUUCAGAAUAAAUUAAUUGGUCAUUAUAAAAUUAAUUGUUAGUUUUGUUGUUAUUUCCCUUAUUUGUUCAUAAUUUAUGCCCUAGGUUUAUCUUUAUUAUUACUUUUUAAUUCUCGUUUGUUUCUGUUGUUAUAUUUUUUGUUUAUUUUUUAAUUCAAGAAGCUUAUACUUUGUCCUUCUAUUAAAUCUAGAAAUCGCUCAAUCAUUUAAUUUAGCAUGUCCUCAUCUUUUAUUUAAAAAAAAUUUGUUCUAAAUCGCAGGAUUUCACUGCCCUGUUCCCUUUCAAACUCGAUUUCUAACAUCAGGUUUGUUCAAUUUUUUACUUGCCUUUCCGUUCAAUAUUUGAAAAAUGUUUGCUGCCAAUGGUUUGUAUGAAUAUUGUUAUAUUCUGUAAAUUUUUAGUCAGAGCUUGCAUGUGUGUGAAGUGAUUUUGGUUGAUGAUAUAGUACUUUUCAUUUACUAGUGUCUUUUGUUGGGAUGAAUCCGAAACUGUGGUCCAAUGGUGUUAGACAUUUUCUUUAAUGAUUGUGAGCUAGAUUUUGUGUAAUUUAUUGAGUUAAAAAGUAAGGCCCCCUUUUCAAUUGUCUUUUUUAUGUUUGAAGGAAAUGGUACCAUGUGGGGGCAAGUUUGGUCAUGUGGACCAAGUAAUGUUUAGUUGGUUAUAUAUAUAUAGUCUUGUGGUCCAUUAAAUGCUGGAUUGCUAGAAUUUUUUUUUAAAUAAAUGUUAAAUGUAUGUGGGCCAAGUUAUUUAGGAUAUUAUUAGUUGGGUAUGGUUAGUCGGUGGUUUUGGUCAAUGAUGAUAGCAUGUUGGUAAAGUUACAUUUGUUGCACAUGAUGACAAGUUUUUUUUUAAACUUAUUUAUUUCAUUGAAUUUAUAAAUUGAAUAUUAAUAAUGUUUUGUUGCUUAAUUUAUUGAUAAUGGAAACCGUUUAUCAUUGCUGCCCAUUAGUACAUUGUGUUGAAAUUUAUCUCAAUUAUAUGUCAGGUACUAGACAAAAAAUGGAUAAAUCUUGGCUUAAAUAUGAUAGAUUGUCCGAUGAGUAUGAGGCUGGUGUGGAAAAAUUUAUUAAGACUGCAGUUGAAAGUAAUCAAGAAAUUAGUGUUGUUAGGUGUCCAUGUGAUAAAUGUCAGAAUUUAGCAUUUCAUAGGCCUAAAGAAGUGAAAGAUCAUUUAAUUAUAUGGGGUCUUGAUAUGUCAUACAAAACAUGGGUUUGGCAUGGGGAAGAUAUCCGCAACAAAUCUCCUGACAAUAUAGGUUGCCAAAAUGACAGUGGAUAUAUGGAUUAUGAUGGUGGUAAUACUGUUGAAAUGGUGAAGAUGCUUUUAAGGAUUGUNNNNNNNNNNNNNNNNNNNNNNNNNNNNNNNNNNNNNNNNNNNNNNNNNNNNNNNNNNNNNNNNNNNNNNNNNNNNNNNNNNNNNNNNNNNNNNNNNNNNNNNNNNNNNNNNNNNNNNNNNNNNNNNNNUCUGAUUAGUAGCUUUUCAGAAUUUGUUGAAGGCUUCUUUCGACCAUGUUACGGAAAGGAAAAUGACUUGCCUGUAUCAAAUGUAUGAACCCAAAAAGGACAAUGAGUGCUUUAGGCUUAGAGUAUAUCAAAAUUCAUGCAUGUCCAAAUGAUUGUAUACUCUAUAGAAAGGAGUAUGAAAGCCUUUCUAAUUGUCCUACAUGCGGUGAAUCUAGGUGGAAGAAAAGAGAUGGUAGUGUUGCUGCUUAUAGGAAGGGGGUUCCUACAAAAGUGUUAUGGUAUUUCCCUCCUAUACCUAGAUUUAGGCGUUUGUUUCAGUCCUCACAAACUGCCAAAGACUUGACUUGGCAUAUAAAUGAGAGGGAAAUAGAUGGUAAGCUUCGACAUCCAACUGACUCACCGGCAUGGAAGUUAGUUGAUGAAAAAUGGCCUACCUUUGCUUUAGAGCCUAGAAAUCUGCGUCUUGCCCUAUCAGCUGAUGGCAUUAAUCCUCAUAGCUCUCUUAGUAGUACGUAUAGUUGCUGGCCCAUUCUUCUUGUAACAUACAAUCUUCCACCCUGGUUGUGUAUGAAAUGAAAAUUUAUGAUGUUAUCCUUAUUAAUUUCUGGUCCACAACAGCCCGGUAAUGAUAUUGAUGUGUACUUGGCACCACUAAUAGAGGACUUGCAAACUCUAUGGGAUGUUGGUGUGGAAGCUUAUGAUGCCUACAAAAAAGAGUUCUUCAAUUUACGGGUUGUACUAUUGUGGACUAUAAAUGACUUUCCCGCUUAUGGGAAUUUGGCGGGUUGUACGGUUAAGGGUUAUUAUGCUUGUCCUUAUUGCGGUGAAGAUAUGCCAAAAUGUAGACUUAAACACAGUAAAAAAAUGCUUAUAUUGGCCAUCGCCGUUGGCUUCCUCAUGAUCAUCCCUUUCGAACUCAAAAGAAACCUUUUAAUAAUAAACAUGAAAGAGAGCCUCCUCCGAAACCAUUGAAUAGUGAGGCCAUUUUUUGAAAGGUGGAGAGUAUUGAAAACAAAUGGGGUAAAGUGAAAGAUAAAAAGCGCAAAAAAAGAGGCGAGAAAAAGGAUGAUGAUGACGAUCGUGUUUAGUGGAAGAAAAAAUCAAUAUUCUUUAAGUUAGAGUAUUGGAAGUACUUGCUUAUUUGUCACCAGUUAGAUGUUAUGCACAUUGAAAAAAAUGUUUGUGAAAGCAUCUACGGAACAUUACUAAAUAUCCCGGGAAAGACCAAAGAUGGCAUUAAGUCGAGGUGGGAUCUAAAAGUUUUAAAGAUUAGGCAGAAAUUGGCACCUGAUGUUAAAGAAAAUAAUCGUACUUUUUUGCCUCCAGCUUGUUACACCUUGACCAAAGAAGAAAAGAAAAGGUUUUGUGAAGUAUUAAAAAGCAUAAAGGUUCCUGUAGGUUAUUCUUCAAACAUUCAGAACCUAGUGUCAAUGAAAGACUUAAAACUGCAAGGUUUAAAGUCUCAUGACUGUCAUGUUCUCAUGCAACAACUUUUACCUAUUGCUUUAAGGUCUAUCUUACCAGAUCAUGUUAAAUAUGCCAUUAUUAGAUUGUGCUUCUUCUUUAAUUCCUUAUGCGCAACGGUUGUUGAUGUGACCAAACUUGACCAAAUGGAAGAAGAUAUUGCGCUGACCUUAUGCUUGCUGGAAAAAUGCUUUCCGCCAUCCUUUUUUGACAUAAUGAUCCAUUUAACCAUCCAUUUAAUUAAUGAAGUUAGACUAUGUGGGCCGGUAUACUUAAGAUGGAUGUACCCAUUUGAGAGGAACAUGAAAGGCCUAAAGGCUUAUGUUCGAAACCGUAAUAACCCUGAGGGAUGCAUAGCUGAGAGUUACAUUGCCGAAGAGGCUCUGGAAUUUUGUGCAGAAUAUGUUUCAAAUAUGCGUACAAUUGGGCUUCCUCCUGGACAUGUUGAAACCUCUUCAAUUGAUAAGCCUUUGCCUGGUGGAAAAUUUGAGCAUGUUGAUCAUUCCUUAAUUCAUCAAGCGCACCUAUAUGUAUUGCAAAACACAGAAGAAGUUCAGCCAUUUAUUAGGUUUGUUAAUGUUUAACCUUUAAUUUGUUCCUUUACUGAAUUAUUUUUAAAGAAUUUGAACAGUAGCUUAAUAUGUAAAUGUCAAAUAUGUAGUGAGCACAUUCAAUGGCUAAAGGGUCAUCAUUCACAAAAAGCCAAGAAUGAGAGAUGGUUGAGCAAUGAGCACAACCGCACCUUUUCAACUUGGCUUAAUAAGAAGGUUAAUAAUAGAUGUUCCAUUAUAUAUUCUUUUUAGUAAAGUUAUUGUCAUGUUUAUACAAUAAUUCAUUCAUUACGAUUAUUAUUAUGUAGGUAUAUGAGAUGAUAGAUGAUGAUGAAGAUGUCUCGAACAUCUUGAGGUGGUUAUCUCAAGGACCCCGUCCUUUUGUAGUUAAGCACCCAGGAUAUGACAUCAAUGGGUAUCGUUUCCAUACUCGGGAAUGAGACGAACAACGAGUUCAUCAAAAUAGUGGAGUUAGUCUUAUUGCAGUAACUUUACAAGUAGCAAGUGCCAAAGACAAAAACCCUAUUCUUGGUGACAUGUCUUACUAUGGAGUUAUUAACGACAUAUGGGACCUUGACUACCAUAUGUUUAGAAUCCCUUUGUUCAAGUGUGAUUGGGUUCAAAAUAAUGGGGGUAUUAAAAUUGAUGAAUUUGGCUUCACUUUAGUGGACUUAAAUCGCCUGGGUCAUAAAUCAGACCCAUUUAUAUUGGCUUCACAAGCAACACAAGUCUUUUAUGUCACUGAUCAACUUGAUAAAAGAUGGUCAGUUGUAAGUCAUAUACAUCGUAGAUGUGUUCCAAAGAAGACAAGUGCUGAGGAUAUAGAUAUCAUGAUGGAACACAACCCUCUGACCAAUGGGUUACCAAAUAUUGAAAAUUUAAAUUACGCGGACAGAUAUGCAAGAGAUGGCAAGCAUGGCAUCUGGAUUGAUGCUUGAAAAAGCUGAUGGCAUUUACUGCUUGUAUGUCUUAUAAUAGUUUUGUGUUACGUUAUCUUUUAUUAUUAUAUUUUCCUUGUAUUGACUUUAGAUUAACUUUUUUGACAUUAUUUAUAUGUUAUAUAAUGUUCUAAUACUAAAUGUGCAUUUAUUGCAGGAGCAACCUUAUGGAUAAAGGAAAAGGACUUGCUGAUGAACUCUCUAACGAGGAAAGUAUUGAUUAUUUGGGUAAUGAAGAGGUUCCUAAUGAAGAUAAUUCAAGGGAUGAGGAGGUUCCUGAUGAGUUUCCUAAUUCAGAGGAUGAAAAUGAUGUUCCGAAGAGCAGUUCCACUGUGAGAGGACCAACUAAAAACUCUGGCAGGAUGAGGAUGAGUGGCGGGAAGCUUGUAGUGAGGUACAAUGGGCUCGGUGUACCUGUUGGCCCUGAAGCUACUGAAUUAGCAAGCUUUAUUGGGCUGUUGGGCCGUACUUCUAUUCUAGAUAUUAACCAAGAAUGGAGAAAGAUUACUCCAGAUUUAAAAAGCCGUUUGUGGGAGUUUAUUAAGGUAAAAUGAUUAUUUAUAUUUAUAUAUCAGAAUUGAAUAAUGUAUAUGUUAAACUAUUUGAUCAUUAUGCUAUGUAUUUUUCUCAGGAACGUUUUAUUGUUCAUCCAAAUAGUAAGAAGCAAGUUUUCCAAGCACUUGGUAGUGCAUUCAGAAACUUCAAGUACUUGCUCACCACAAAGUAUAUCUUGCCACACAAGCACAAUCGUAAAAGGCUGAAGCGGCCACCUUUUCAGUACAGUCAUAUUCCUCAAAAUGUUUGGGAUAAAUUUGUGAAUUCUAGAUUGUCCACUGAGUUUGAGGUGAAUAAUUUUAAAUGUUAAACAUUUAGACAUUUCAUAAAACCAUCUUUAAAUCUAAUUAUGGAUUGUUUUAUGUAGAGAAUUAGGCGUCAACAGCAAAAUAAGAGAGCUAACAACAAGUGGAACCAUCGUUUAAGUAGAAAAGGAUAUGCUGGAUUGCUUGAUGAAAUUGUAAGUACUAUGAUACUAACUUGACCAUUCUUGUAUAGCUAUUGGUAUAAAGAUGGUUGGUUUGAUGAUGAUAAAUUGGCAAACCUUUUGUUUUAAUUUACUGCUUGCAAUUCAUGGUUAGUUAAGGAUGCAUACCAGCUGUGAUAUUAUUAUUUUUUUAAACUAUAGUGCUCGGAAACUGGACUUGUCGAAACUGAAGUUGACAGGAGUGUAGCAUGGAAGCGUGCUAGGAAGAUGAAAAACGGUGAAUAUGAUCCUGAUGUUGAUUCAGUUGUGAAGAAGAUUGUAAGUAAUAGCAAGGUUUUUUUUUUAAGUAGGUUCUGUUGGAAAAAAAUUGAUAUUCAUCAAUAUGAUUAUUAUGCAAUUAGGAUGUACUGGAAGAGAAAGCUAAAAAAGGAGAAUUUAAAGCUGAUGCAAGAAAUGAUAUUCUUGCACGUUCAAUUGGAAGGCCUGCCACUUCUGGACAUAUGCAGGGUGUUGGGAAAUUUAUAUCGCCUAAGAUGUACUUUGACACUCCAAACAAUUCAUUUCAGAUGCGACAAGAGCGACUAAACAUACUAGAGAGGUUAGAUAAGCAAGAAGCAGAGUUGAGUGAUCUGAAGAAGAAGAUUAAAAAGCAACCUCGACAUUCAGAUGUUGGAAGCUCAAACUUUCCAUUAGAUGAGCAAACAAUUGAAGAUGAAGCUGAAGAAAUGACUGCUCGUAAUGAGGACAAGGUAUGAUACAGAUUGUUGUGCACAGUCAAGUUAAAAAAUGACUUAAACAUUGGAUUUUAGACAAUUUUAGCCGUAGUCAAAACCGUAAUAACAAACCUUUUUUUUUUUUUUUUUGGCUUGUCAGUCAAUCGGCAUGACAAGGAAUGGAUCACCUGCAAAGAAGAAGCACGAAACGUUGACAAAGAAAAGGCAAUCACCUAGGAAGAGGAAUGAGUCACCAAAGAAGCAAGUGACUGCUGAUUGUCCUGGAGACAAACCAGAAACUCCAACGAAAAGGCAAUCACCAAGGAAGAAACAAGAAUCACCAAAGCAGCAAGUGAUGAAGAAAAGGCAAUCACCAAGAAAGAAGAAGGAAUCACCAAUGAAGCCUCACAAGAAACCAAGAAUGACUCUUGAUUGUCCAAGAGACAAACCAUGUAGUCCAAAGAAGAAGACAUCACCAAAAAAGCCUCAAGAGAAGCCACUGUCAAGAAGAAGAACAAGGAAUUAUCAUAUUGUGCAUAUGAACCGGGUGCCUGGGCUUGUAAUAUUUGCAAAUCUUUGUGAAAAGAAGUUGGCUCAAAUGGGUUAUUAUGUACCUUAUCAGUUGGAUGAAGAGGUAUACAAGCAUCCAACUAAAGCACAUAUUGGUCUCGAUGAAUGUCAAGCAUUGAUUUCGAUGAAAGAGCUAGGAGCAAAUCAUAUGCAUCUAUACAUCGCGUAAGUUUACAAAAUCAUAAUUACUAGUUUAUUUUCAAUUUUUAGUUUAUUACUUCCUUUCUCUGGUUUCUUUUUUUUAUAGUGAUAUUUUUUAUUGGCAACAUUCUCACUAUUUCAUCAUCUUAAUUGCAUCAGGAUGUUGCAUGCACACAUGGCGAAUGAUAUAGUGGGUAGACCAUUUGGGUUCAUACACACAGGACUCGUAUCAUCAGCCCAUGAUAAGGAUGCCUUUGCUACAAGGGUAAAAAGAGCACAAUUUAUUGCCGAACGGUUGAACAAAGCAAACAAAGGGCAAAUGAUUUUCAUGCCAUAUAACCAUGGGUACAGUUCUAUUUACUUUAUAUUGAUGAUCAUUUACUAAAAUUGAUUCAUAAUUUCAAUUUCUUUGUGUAAUAGUUUCCAUUGGGUGUUGAUUGUAAUUGAUAUGACGACAAAGCAAGCGUUUUAUCUGGAUUCUACGAACAACGAUUUGGGUGACGACAGUGACCUGAAGGACAUAGUUACCAAGUAUGGUGAUAUUGUAUUUUUAAUAUAAUUUUAUGUAUCAUGUUUAUUUACUUACUGCAUGUAUUAUAAUGUAGUGGGAUAUCAAUGCAUGUUGCGGUGACUGGUAAAAAAAGGGUGAAACCACAGAUCACAAAAGUUUUGGUAAACAAUCAUGACUUUCUUUUUUCUUCUUUUUUUUUGGCAGCGCAUGACUUGUUAAUAUUUAAUCACUUGAAAGAAUUCAUAUGCAUAUGUAUUAAUGAUUAUUUUGUUGAUGAUAUAGUCCCCAAAUCAACCAGGGAGUACUGAGUGUGGAUACUAUGUGCUGAGGUUUAUGAAAGACAUAAUUGCAGACCCGAGUUUACUUCUCCAUGAUGUAAGUACACAUUCUUUCAGAUGCAUUGUCGGAUUUCUUCACUUAAUACUUUUAACUAUAUAUAGUUUACUUUAGUCUAACAUGUGAUCAUCAUUUCACAGUUUAAAGGGAAAUGUGAAUACACUCAAAGUGAGCUUGAUGAAGUGCGUCUCGAGUAUGCUUCCUUUGUGUCUAAGCUGAUAGUAUGAGCAGUGGAGUUGAUGAUGAUAUUGUUUGAUAAAGUCUUAAGUGGCAGUGAAUUUUGUAUGCUGGUAUUGUUCCAGAUGAUAGUGAAUCUUGAUAAAGUCUAAGUGGUAGUGAAAUUUGUAUGCUAUAUUGUUUGAUAAAGUCUUAAGUAUAGUAGUGAAUCUUGAUCAGCCUGGUAGUGUUUCAGAUGAUAUAUAGUGUUGUGAUGUUUUUGUAUGCUGGUAAUGAUCCAGAUGGUAGUGUUGGGAUGUAGAUUUGUGAUAAUUGAAUAGAUGAUGUUUUGACAAUGUUAUGGUUAUUUCAAGUGAUGAUUUAGUGAUGUUUUGAUAAUAUUGUUGAGAUAAUUUGGAUGUAUUGAUUUUAUACAUAUUGUAAUUUUUAAAUUUCAAUGGAAUUUAUAAAAUUAUAAAAUAAUAAUAUUAUUAUUAUUAUUAAAAAUAUUAAUAUUAUUUAAAAUAUUACAAAUUUAUGAUUUAAAAAAAAUUCUUUUAAUAAUAUUAUUAUUUUAAAAAAAAUCACAUCGUGACACCAUAUUAGAAUCAUAAAGUUGUGACACAUAAUUACGCGCCAUAAUUUAAAAUUGAAUUAAUAAUACCCGCCAAAAGAUUUUUCACAAUAAAAAAAAUUUACCACUAAAAUAUUAAAAUGACGUUGCUUUUGUUGUGACACAUUUGUGAUAGAUAUAAGCUGUCACAUAUACCUAUGAUAGAUAAAUUACUGUCACAAGUUUGUGAGAGGGGCUACAAUGACAGAUAGAAACUCUGUCAUAAACAGGGUCGGAUGACAGAUAUUCUCUGUCAUGGUAGCCCAUUUUUCUAGUAGUGCAAUUAGAAAAGCUAAACAUGUGUAAGGAGUUUAUUUAGUAUCAGUAACAUACUAGAAAUAUGAUAAAGUUAUGGUGAGACAUCUAUGACAAAAAAAUAAGUCAAUAUUCAAUUAUUAAAUAUAAAUUAUCACUAUAUUUGGUAUUGAGGUGUUGUGAUUAAAAAAAAAGAGAAAGUAUGGUAAUAUGUAAUAAUUUUAAAAGUUAUUAUGACUUUUUAUUGUAUAAAUAAAAUAAACUUAAUNNNNNNNNNNNNNNNNNNNNNNNNNNNNNNNNNNNNNNNNNNNNNNNNNNNNNNNNNNNNNNNNNNNNNNNNNNNNNNNNNNNNNNNNNNNNNNNNNNNNAGCUAUACUUUCCAAAAUAAUUAAGUAGGGCUAAUACCUAAAACAAGUCUAACAGAAUUUUUUUUUUCUAGAAAAUAAAAAAUGCAUGUGAUAUGUAAUUUGUGAGGAUUUGAAUUUACAGAAGCAGAGGAAAGAAAAGAAUUUAAAAAAAGCGAAUUGCUUUAUGAAAUAAUUUUUCUGCAUCCUUUAUUCAGAUAGCUUUAGGCUUUUUAUAAGAGCCAAUUGGAAACACGCAAUCUACGCUAGUAACUGCCCUUGGAACAACAAAAGACACCCUAGACAAUAACACAUGAAAUACUAGAAAUAAUAGGAAAUAUGGGUAACAAUAUUGCACACAUAGUUGAUAGACCACGUGUCAAGCACCCAUUUAUUUCAAAGCACUUAUUAUUAAGUCCUAGACUCCUCCUCUCAAGCAUGGCUAUCAGGUACGUGGGAAGUUUGUCAAAUGCAUGGGUUCUUGCUCGUCUUUGGGAGACAUAUCAGCAUGCUUGGAAAGAGAUACACGCAAGACAAUCAACACAAGAUUUGUUUUAUUUCUAGGAUGCAUGGGCAUGCACUCUACUUAUAGAACUCCAUAACCCAGAGACUACCAAUAGCAAGUUCACAACUGAUCCC
rnacentral:lncRNA from 1 species